GAGAGAACAUACCCACAAACACACAACAUCACAAUUGAUCGGGGUAGCUGUCCUUUGUUCCCAUUUUGGUAGCCAGGCACUGAGCCGGAUUUGAACCAUUGGGCCAUCCCAAACACUAGGCGAAGCUGAACAAAAUGGUACCUUCCGUGCUCAGGCUCGGCUCUGGAGAUCUCAAUGCUUCUGAAGCAUGUCCCUGAACCAGUAGGCCGACGCCUUCGGGUGGCGUUCGAGCGUGUUGAAGUCCACGUAGACGAUGCCGAACUUGGACGAGUACCCUGCCAGCCACUCGAAGUUGUCGAGGAGAGACCAGGCGAAGUAGCCAGCCACGUUCGCUCCCUGGUCUAUGGCCUUCUUCAGCUGGCCGAUGUAGCUCCUGUAGAACCGCACCCUCGUGGCGUCGCGCAGGUACUGGUCUCGGGUCAAGUUUCCAGGCUGGUCCAUUCCUGGUAACACAGAAAAGAAAUAAAAAAAAGAUCGAUGUAAAUACGAUUCCCUUGGUAUGCGGCGUGGCGUGUUCAUGCGAAACACGGAAUUCCGUUGAGUACCGUUCUCCGUUAUGUAGAUCGUUGGAUUCCCAUACUUCUCCUUGAGGUAGUUCACGCACCCGUACAUCCCCGUCGGGGCGAUGUAGAGCCACUUAGAAUUCGCCUACGUGUCCAUGCGUUUGGUUAGCAAGUAUUCUCUUGUUGCAGUACUUUAGAAUUCGUAGCUGAUGCUACCUAGCAUACCAUGCACUAUGCAGUGCAAACAACGAUGAGAGAGAGAGUAGAUGGAGGAGCAGCGUACCUGUGGUCCAAUCGGUUUGCCAUUGCGUGCAACUACAGAAUUUAUGGGACGGAUGUUUAGGUUUGGUGAAAAAAAUAUAUAUCCAAGGCAAAUACAUAUUUAUUCGAAAUAUCGAGUUUAAAGCACAAGAAAUUAAACUCACAAACAUAUUGAACCUGCCAAUCGGCAGAGUAGCUACUGGGCGCCAGCUGGACCAGCUUCUGCCCCUUCAUGUAGCUGGAUGUGUACUCGUUGAUACCGAUGUAGUCUGCCGAGCCCUUCACCAGUUUAGCCUGCUCAGGAGUGAACCUGGGCAGCCUCUCCUUCACGAGAUCUUGCAUUAUCUGUGGAUAGUGUCCGUUUAUCAAUGGAUCAACAAACCUGCGUCGGAUGUAACAGUUAGCUGUGUUUUAGUUCUCAUCUACCAAAACUUAGAAUAGGUUCUGACAGAGGAUACUGAUAUAGCUUACCAGCCAAUGUGGAAGUCCCUGGCUCUUUGGGCUGCUGCUUGGUCAUCAGGUGAGUUUGUAAGAGCCUCGUACCAGUUGAAGUCCAGGACUAUUCCGACCUUACCCUUCUGAGCAGCCUAUGUUUUUAAAACAUCAUGUCACUCUUCCAUCAGCAGUUUUCAGUCCAAGAAACUAAUGAAAUUCGACAGGCACAUGUCCAAUCGUUUAGGAGAACAAGCUAAUGCAUUUCAUGAACAGUAGAGUUAUUAAUGUGAAAGUAUGCUGACCAUUGUUCCAACUUCCAAGCAUAUAUAGACCCUGCCCACAUUUCAUUUAAAAAUAAAAUCUUGGACCACACACUUCAUUGAAUAAAAUAACAUCAGUUUACCACUCCUAGGAGUGCUAGAGUGAUGUUAUUUUUCAGAGGAACUUCUGAGGUUCUCAAGAUGGAAAUACCUGAUAUUUCGUACGGUAUCUUGCAACUGCAGUAGCAUGUGCCAAGAGAAAAUUAUGAGCAACUAUGUAAGGUUCGGUUGCUGAAUUCCCACCAGCAGCGCAUCUGGUGCACCUUUGAGGAGGAUUUGACCCUGUGUCAUAGCCAAGUAGCGCUACUAUCCUUGGCUCAUUGAAUGUAAACCAGUGCUUUACGCGAUCGCCGUAGGUCUUAAAACAGAAGUCAGCAUAGUCUGUAAACAAGUCCCUACAAAACAAAUUGUAUACAUAUAUAAGUAUAAUCUGGUAUUUCCAGUUCUAUAUCAUGUGAAACUAGAGAUUCUAUGUUGUGUGUCCUUCUUUCGGGAAAACACAGAAAGUCGAAACACGUUAAUAACAUGACCAGAUAUAUCUUUAGACUGACUUACGCCAUCUUCGCGCUUAACCACCCUCCAUAUUUCUUCUCAAGCGCAAGAGGAAGAUCAUAGUGGUAAAGGUUGAUGUAAGGAGUCAUGCCUGCUCAGUUGUCAAGGAGGGAUGUUCAGAUAUGUUGACAUAGGUUCCAAUGAAUGGCUAAGAUGUAGAAUCAUCCAAUUCCAACUAAUGCAUUACCUUGCUGAAGCAGAUAGUUUAUCAAAUUAUUGUAAUACGCUACACCUUCUGGAUUGACUUUCCCUUCGCCAUCUACACAACCGAAGAUGUAUCAGCGGUAGUAAACACCCAAAAAAAAACUCAUGUUUGGUGUGCGCGACGACUUAAGUCAAAUUUAUUUUUACCCGGGAAGAUCCUGGACCAUGAGAUUGAGAACCGGUAGGCAUCAAAGUUCAAACUUUUCAUGAGAUCGACGUCUUCCUGAAGCAGAACAAAAGAGUUAACGAUAAAGGCAUCAAACUCUCUUGUGUCUCAGCCCAGAUCGGUUUAUUUGCUUCGCAUAGUUAAGUACCUUGUAGCGAUGGUAUUGAUCCACUGCAACGUCUCCAUUUUGAUUCCCUGCAAUAUUUCCUGCUCGUUGCAACAAAACAAAAAAAAGAGAUAUUAAUGAAUGCAGUUGAAGCUGAAUACUAGUUGACCAGUUAAGGAUAAUCAAGGCGCUAGAUCUCAAUGAAUGCUUGGCGUACAAUCAACACCGGGAUUUGGUGGCCAACAUUCCGUAUUUGGUUCAUAAUUCUUUUUCUUUCCUUUUCCUUUUCUUUUUGCCUACAUCCGUCUCUUGCACCCCCCCCCCCCCCCCCCACUCGGCCACUCCCACCUCCACAAUAAUGUCAACUGCUACUAACCAUCUAAGCAAGUAGACACAUUGUCUCACAUUCGGAGAUCGAACCCGUGAUUAACGCCUGUUUGGCUAUGGUAAUUCAGACGCGCUGUUGUUGCAGCACUGAUACGACAACUGACGUGGGUGGAUAACUAGUACUUGGAUCCAUGCUCCACCUCCAUAGAACUACCCACGCUUACGCAUCAGAUUUCCUCCUCCACUCCCGUGCCAGCCGAAGCAGUCUAGCAGAGUUCAGCGUAGGAGGGACACAGUGACGAAGCGAAGCAGUACCUGGGACGUGCGCGAAUGAAUCCCAGAUGGAGGGGCCCCGGCCGUUGGUGGACGCGGCGCCCUCGACCUGGUACGCCGACGUCGCCGUCCCGAACACGAACCCCUUGGGGAACGACGCGCGGCUCAGCCCGCCCAGCCAGUUGGCGCCCUUGGCCCCAGCGGCGGCGCAGACACGGACGCCGCCGCUGGCGACCAGCAGCGCGAGCAGCACCGCCCACCGAGCGUCCAUCUCGGUCCGGGGCCGGCGGUCGACCGCGGCAGCAGGGGUGGCAGCAGCUCGCAGUUCGCUCACACCCCACCGGCGUCAGCCAGCACAGUAGCAGAGAGGCGCUGCGCUGGCGCUGCAGGCCUUCAGCGCUGGAGUGGGCUGGCGCAGUACUAGCCGGCGUGUCCUAUUUGUUGCUGGUCACGUCGCCUCAUCAAUGAGUAGUGUCGCGUGUCGGUGCGGUGAAUCGAGGGGCAUCUCUGUGUGGUGGGGACCCCGGCGGUGCGCGCGCCCACCCGAGUCUCGACGGCAUCCUAUCUACGGCGGGCGUGGGGGGCGGCACUACGCACUAGCACGACCGGGACCGGUGCCGGUGAUUACCUCGCGUGGCCGCCCGCCCGGUGGGCCACGCUUGUCUCCUUCCGACUGCCGUCCUCGGCUGUUCGAUUGAUGACGCUGGCGUUUUAGGGGCGGGAAUGGCGGGCGGUUCACGACGCAUGUCGGGUUUCGUGGAUGGCGUGUCGCUAUCUUUUUUCUCAGGGAAUCUGGGCGGCGCGGCGCGCCGCAUGCAUCGGCGCGGCUGGCCACGGUACCUUCCUCGGCUCUGUCUUUGCAUUCAUUUUAUCUCCGGCAGUCUGCUAUAGUCCUAUCCUACCGUCUAUCUCCACGGUUUACAAAACCGCUGAAGAUAUAAAAACCACCCCUCAUCGGUAACGAUUUACCGGCGGUAAAAUGAUAGAAACCGGUAAAAACCAACCGGUUUAGACAAAUCAAAUCAGUUUAAAUUCAAACCGGUUUAUCAGCGAAAAACCGAUGUAAACCGGCGAAAAGCCGGUAGAAACCGCCGGUUAACCGUGAAACAAACUGGUUUUCACUGUUUUUUUUAGAAAAAAAUGAAAAUUUUGGCAGAAUUUAUUUGUAGUUUGCUCAAUUCACAUUGUCAGUAAAUAUUAAUUGAUCCACAUGGCAUGCGUUCAUCGAAAUAAAAUACAACAUACAUAUGCAACCACAAACUCCAGUUCUCAUGCAAUAAACAACUAGCGAACUUCGCAAUACUCAAAUACAAGUUCUUUUACACCUCUCCAACGAGGCAACGACACAUAAGUCGACUUAUUUCACAAUACUCACAUGUUCAGCUCGAGUCAUAGUGAUAGUACUCAGGCAUGUUGGAAGGGUGUAAAAGAACUUAGAACUCUUCUUUAAGUUCAUCCUCAUACUCAUCGUCCCAAAAUGGGUUCGUGCUGCCUCAUCUGCCCUCAGCUGCUGCCUAAACCUAGAACUCUUCUUUUCCUUUAUCUUAUCUAUGUCAAGUUGGAAGUAUGCCUUUAUGUCUGGAGGAACAGAUGGACAUUUCUUGACAUUCUUCCCUCUAUGCACGAGAUGCUCUUUCAAUCGGGUACCACUCCCUCCGCUCUUUGUUUCUCUACAACACUUGCAUUUGAAACCUGCGCCAACCUUCUCUCACCUGCGCCAACCUUCUCUCCGUGCAACCAGACUCUAUCUCUUUCUCUAUCUCUAUCUUCAUCCGACAUGUCUUUGAAAGGGAAAUGUGCCGUUGGGCCAUUUCUAUAACAUUUUGGUAAUUAAGUGCUCCACACAAAUGCUUUGAGUUAUAUUUGUGCCAAAGACUCAAGAAGUGCAAAUCAAGAUUAAAGGUAUGUUUCUAGUCUUAGUCCAUUGUUUUGAAGACUAAUGUGUUGUGUCUAAGUGCUAGAAACAGAAGAAAUCACUUUGGAGAUUAGUUGGUUGUGUUCGGCCAAAGGCUGCUCGGUUUGGGUGCACCGGACUGUCCGGUGGUGCACCGGACAGUGUCCGGUGUGCCAGGACUAGACCAGAUGAACAGCCUGCUCUCGGGUCUCGACGGUGGCGUACGACUAUAAAUCACCGGACUGUGCGGUGAUGCACAGGACUGUGCGGUGAGUUGUCUGCGGCGAAGUCGCCGCUCUCGGGAACCAAGUCAACAGCGUACGGCUAAAAUUCAACGGACUGUCCGGUGAGCCAACGGUCGGGCGCGCCAACGGUCGGCCCCGCAAUCCACACGUGACGCGUGGCCGGGCCAACGGUCGGAUGUGAGCACCGGACUGUCCGGUGUGCACCGGACAGUGUCCGGUGUGCACCGGACAGUGUCCGGUGCGCCAACGGCUCCAAAUCUUCAACGGUCGGCUGCGCCAAAUUAGGAAAGCAAUCUGCACCAGACUGUGAACAGUGCCUAUCCGAUGGUGCACCAGACUGUCCGGUGCGCCACCCGACAGAAGACAAGAUUUGCCUUCCUGGAUUGCUUCCAACGGCUCCUAGCUGUCUUGGGGCUAUAAAAGGGACCCCUAGGCGCAUGGAGGAGUAUACCAAACAUUCUUUGAUCAACUCUAAGCACCAAGACUCUAUUUUCGCACAUUUGAUUCUUUGUGAUAGCAACUAGAGCUCUAUUUGAGUAGAGAACUCUUCGAGUUGUGUUGCGAGCUCAAGUGUGACUUGUGUGCGUGUUUGUGCUCUGAUUUUGUGUCUUGUGUGCGUUGCUUUUCCCACCCUUACUUUUGUGCUUCUUUGUGAUCAUCAAAUUGUAAGGGCGAGAGGCUCCAAGUUGUGGAGAUUCCUCGCAAGUGGGAUAUAGUGAAACAAAGAGAAACACCGUGAUAUUCAAGUGGGUCUUUGGACCGCUUGAAAGGGGUUGAGUGCAACCCUCGUCCGUUGGGACGCCACAACGUGGAGUAGGCAAGUGUUGGACUUGGUCGAACCACGGGAUAAACCACUGUGCCUCUCUGUGUUGAUUUCUUUGUGGUUAUCGUGUUUAGCAAGAACUCCUCUCUAGCCACUUGGCGUUAUUGCUCUAACACUUAAUCAAGUUUGUGGCUUUAAGUUUCAAGUUUUUACAGGAUCACCUAUUCACCCCCCUAGUGAUCAACGACAAAGAAAAGGAGUCCUUCCUCAAUGAGCCAAAAGAUGACAAGCCCACUGACUCGUGCUCAAGUCAUAAGAAGGACGAGAAGAAGAAGAGGCGUAUCAAGAAGAUCGUCUACUACGACAGCGACGAGUCUUCUUCUUCCCAAAAGGACGACGAUGAUGACUACGAGAAAAAGAAAACGGUCAACUCAAACUUUUCUUUUGAUUACUCUCAUAUUCCGCAUAGUUCAAAUGCACAUUUGCUUUCCAUUCCUCUUGGUAAACCUCCACACUUUGAUGGAGAGGACUACGGAUUUUGGAGUCACAAAAUGCGUAGUCACUUGUUCUCUCUUCAUCCAAGUAUAUGGGAGAUAGUAGAGAAUGGAAUGCAAUUUGAUAGUACGGAUAAUCCCAUGUUUAUUAAUGAACAAAUUCACAAAAAUGCACAAGCUACGACUGUUAUUUUAGCAUCCUUGUGCAGGGAAGAGUACCAUAAGGUGAGCGGCUUGGAUAACGCCAAGCAGAUCUAGGACACCCUCAGGAUCUCGCAUGAGGGAAAUGAUGUCACCAUGCUCUCCAAGAUGGAGUUGGUGGAGGGCGAACUGGGAAGGUUCGCAAUGAUCAAGGGGGAGGAGCCAACCCAAACAUACAACAGGCUCAAGACCCUGGUCAACAAAAUAAGGAGCUACGGAAGCACGAGAUGGACGGACCACGACGUCAUCCGGCUAAUGCUAAGGUCCUUCACUGUCUUUGAUCCUCAUCUUGUAAACUCUAUUCGUGAAAAUCCUAGGUAUACCAAGAUGACGCCCGAGGAAAUACUUGGGAAGUUUGUGAGCGAGCGAAUGAUGAUCAAGGAGGCGAGAUAUAUUGAUGAGGCGCUAAAUGGCCCAAUCCAUGAGCCUCAAACCAUUGCUCUCAAAGCAACAAGUAGCAGGGAGGCGCUACCUAGCAAGGUGGCGCAAGUUGAGGCGACCAGGCUUAACAAGGAAGAAAUGGCCCUCAUCAUCAAGUGCUUUAAGACGACGCUUAAAGGAAGAAAGGAGCACCCAAACAAGAGCAAGACGAAGGGAAAGCGCUCCUGCUUCAAGUGUGGUAAGUAUGGUCAUUUUAUAGCAAAUUGUCCCGACAAUAAUAAUGACCAGGAGCAAGAGAAAGACGGGAAGAAGGAAAAGAAGAAGGCCUACAAGAAGGCAAAGGGCGAGGCACAUCUCGGCAAAGAGUGGGACUCGGAGUGUUCGUCGUCCGACUCCGACGAUGAGGGACUCGCCGCGUCGGCCUUCAACAAAUCGUCGCUCUUCCCCAACGAGCGCCACACGUGCCUAAUGGCAAAAGAAAAGAAGGUAAUCACUAGAGAAACUCCUAAGUACUCUACUUCUAGUGAUGAGGACUCUAGUGAUGAUGAAAUUGAUUACACUAGCUUGUUUAAAGGAAUAGAUAGAGCAAAAGUAGAAAAGAUCAAUGAAUUGAUUGAUGCUCUAAACUGUUAGACUACCCGUCUAGGGUUUGUGUUAUUCCCUGUGUAAUGACCGUUAUACCCCUGUGUAAUGGGCCUUGGCCCAGUUACUCUCUCUAUUUAAUAUCACUCCCAACCCCUGAUUAGGGUAUGGGUUCCUAUUCUAACAUGGUAUCAGCUAGGUUUAGCCUUUUUUCCUCUCCCCGAGCAGCCACAGCCGCCAGGAGGUUUUUCCCUCCACUGUAGCCGCCGCCGCCGGCCUCCACGCAGCCAGCGCCGCCGGCCUCCUCCCUCCCUCGGCCGCCGGCCCCUCCUCCAGCCGCCGGCCCUCUACCUCCCUCCCCUUCCCCACCGCCGAGCCGCCCGCCCUGCCCCCAAUCUCGCGGCUCGUCGCGCCGCCAGGAGCAGCAGUCGCCGCUCUCUGCCCCUCGUCCAGGCACGCCCUGGACGGCCGCCGCUGGACGCGACCCCGGCUGGACUCGCGCCAGGGAGCCGUGCAGCCCAAGCGCCGACCCCGACGCCGCCCAGCGCCAGGCCGCCUCGCGCCCCGGUCCGCGCCCAGGCCGCCUCGCGCCCAGGUCCGCGCCGCGCCCGGCCAGCUGCCGUGCGUCCCCGCGCGCACUGCACAGCACUGCGCCGCCGACCUCGCCAGGAGCCGCGCCACCAGCGCCCGACGCCCGUCCCCCUGCUGCGACAACGCCCGAUGGACGCCCCUGCUGCCACCACGGCCGGAUUCCACGUCGGGGACAUCACCGGCCCUGGCACACACCCCCCAUCGCCCCUGCUGCUCCCAGCAGCGAGCUCACCCAUGGGGGGGCCCCUACAUCGCCGGCCUUGGUCCGAUCCACGCCUCCUCCCCGCUGCCCCUGCGUCGCAGCUCACCACCGGGCUUUCCCGCCUUCGCUUCACCCACCUGGAGUCACCGAGUCGCGCCCUCCACCGACUCCCCGCUCGUCGGCACCCUCGCCACGAUCCAGGCCGCUGUGACGGCCUCGCGGGAGUGCGAGCGCGCUGCCUCCCUCGCCCUGGAGCGUGAGCGUGCCCUGGGCGCCGCUCUGACCACCCAGAUGGCCACCACGCAGUGCCUCCUCGGCCGUCCGACACUCGCCGAUGCGGCGCCCCCAGAGGACCCCCACGCCUCUGACGUCGACGCCGACCUCAUCGCUGCUCUCCACGCUCAAGCCGCCGGCCUGCACAACAUCCGGGCCCUCGUGUCUGUGGUGUUGGAUCCGGCGUCCUCCCACUACCCCCGGUGGCGAGGACAGGUCCUUCUCACGCUGCGGCGGUUCGUCCUUGACGACCACGUCCUCGUCGACCACGACACUCCGUCGCCUCGCUCCUGGUGCCUCAUGGACAGCGUUGUCCUCUCGUGGCUCCACGGCACCAUCACCGUGGAGCUACAGGACAUCAUCCGCGACCAGGCGGACACUGCGCGCCAGGCAUGGCUCGCUCUCGAGGACCAGUUCCUCGGGAAUCGGGAUGCUCGGGCACUCCACCUCGACGCCCAGUUCCACCUGUUCUCUCAGGGGGACCUCUCCGUGGGCGAAUACUGCCGCCAGAUGAAGGGCCUCGCUGACUCUCUCCGCGAUCUCGGUGAGCAAGUUGCCGAUCGUACCUUGGUGCUGAACCUCCUGCGUGGCCUCAGCCCCCGCUACGGCCACCUGAAGGCUCUCAUCAAGAGGAGCGUGCCCUUCCCCACCUUCCACGCCGUGCGGAACGAGCUUCUCCUCGAGGAGCUCACCAUGGCGAAUGAGGCACCCACUCCUGCCUCGGCCCUCUACAGCGCUCCCACCAGUGGUCAGCCGCCUUCAGGGGGCCAGGCCACCCGUCCUCCGUCGACCGGGGCUCCCACCCGCCCCCCACCUGCCGUCCCGGCGGCCCCUCGUCCGACUUCCACGACCGACGGGGGUCGUCGCUCCCGCAAGGGCGGCCGUGGGAGCGGCGGGUCCUCUCGUGGUGGUCCCUCCGGCCGGGGUGGCGGCCACGCGUGGCCGUCCUUCUACAACCCCUGGACCGGGACCAUCGCCAUGUGGCCGGGCCAGGCACCGAGUACCCCCCGUCCUCCGGCGCCCGCCCUCCUGACUACACCUCACUACGGCGCACCUCCUUAUGGUGUUCCCGUCGUGCCCCAGGCUCCGCCCGCGCUCCUGCCCCCGGGGACCCACACCUCGACGCCUUGGUCCCCGCCGGCUGGUGGUUGGGACAGCACCUCCCUCGCUGCUGCUUUCAGCACCAUGGCGAUGACCCCACCCCCCUCCGACUGGGUGAUCGACUCCGGUGCCUCGUACCACACCACCCCCACGGCAGGCACGCUCUCUCGCUCUCAUCCCCCCCUCCCCUCUCACCCAUCCUCGAUCGUCGUUGGAAACGGUUCCACUCUGCCAGUCACCUCAGUAGGUGCCUCGGUUCUCCCUGGGCCGUUUUACCUCAACGAUGUUCUCGUAGCUCCCCACAUCACCCACAAUCUUCUCUCUGUUCGUCGAUUCACUACUGACAACUCCUGUUCCAUUGAGUUUGACCCCUCUGGUUUUUCUGUGAAGGAUCUGGCCACCAGGACCCUUCUCGCCCGCUGUGACAGCUCGGGGCCUCUCUACACGCUCCAGCCCUCCACCGCCGGCGUGUCUCCACCUCCUGCCUUGGUCUCCACCACCUCCUCCACCACAUGGCAUCGACGUCUCGGCCAUCCUGGACCCGACGUCAUGACCAAGAUUACCAGUAGUCUCGAUCCUUCAUGUAGUAGGGGACAUUUUGAGGGUCUUUAUCAUGCUUGUCAGUUAGGCCGACAUACUCGUCUCCCAUUUACUACUUCUUCUUCUCGGGCUGAGCAGGCUUUUGAUCUGGUUCAUUGUGACCUUUGGACCUCCCCUGUACUCAGUCUUUCUGGUUAUAAAUAUUAUCUGGUGAUUUUGGAUGAUUUUUCCCAUUUUCUCUGGACCUUCCCGCUUCGGUUGAAGUCGGACACAUUCACCACCCUCACACACUUCUUCACCUGGGUAUCCACUCAGUUUCGUCGCCCGGUCCGUGCUCUGCAGUGUGACAAUGGCCGCGAGUUCAAUAACAACGCCUCUCGCUCCUUCUUCCUCACUCAUGGCGUCCACUUGCGUCUCUCGUGCCCCUACACUUCUGCCCAGAACGGCCGAGCCGAACGCAUGAUCCGCACCACCACUAAUAUGCUCCGCUGUCUCCUCUUCCAGGCGUCUCUCCCUGCCAGCUACUGGGCAGAGGCCCUGCAUACUGCCACCCACCUCCUCAACCGUCUUCCCUCGAAGGCGGUACGCCACCCUACCCCCCACUUCGCCCUUUACGGCACAACCCCUUCCUAUGACCACCUUCGCGUGUUCGGCUGUGCCUGCUACCCUAACACUUCCGCUACCGCUCCACAUAAGCUUUCUCCUCGCUCCACCCGCUGUCUAUUCCUUGGCUACUCCCCUGACCACAAGGGGUACCGGUGUCUGGACCUCACCUCCCACCGCAUCAUCAUCUCUCGUCAUGUCGUCUUUGACGAAGAUGUGUUUCCCCUUGCUGGCUCCACCCCACCCACCGAUCUUGACUCCCUCCUCGAGUCCGAUCCGAUUCCUCCCCCACCUUCGGCUCCCCGUCUUGCGCCGUUACCUGCUCCUCGUGCGGCCCCCACGACCUCUUCCGCGCCACGCGCGGCCCCGUCGACCCCGCCUGCGCCACGCGCGGCCCCGUCGACCCCGCCUGCGCCACGCACGGCCCCGUCGACCCCCCCUGCGCCACGCGCGGCCCCGACGAUCCUGCCUGCGCCACGCGCGGCCCCGUCGACCCCGCCUGCGCCGCGCGCGGCCUCGUCGACUCCGGCUCGAUUCGCCAACCCCGCCCUCGUCUACCAUCGCCGCGGCCACGCCACUACCUCGGCGCCCCCCGACGCGUGCCCAUCGACGAGCGCGGCCCGAUUCGCCGACCCCGCCGUCGUCUAUCACCGCCGUGAGCCGGCCCCUCCAGCCGCUCCCGACGUUCCGGUGGCUCACUCCGAGUCGUCCGUAUACCACCCGGUCGCCAUCCAUCGCGACCCCGGGCACGUCCACCCGAUGGUGACUCGACGUGCUGCUGGCGUUCUCCGCCCCGUCGACCGGCUCAUCCUGGCAGCCGCUACGACCAGCACUCCACCCGACGCUUCCCCGGUACCCUCCUCCGUUCGCACUGCCCUCGCCGACCCACACUGGCGUCGCGCUAUGGAGGAGGAGUACGCGGCCCUCUUGGCCAACCACACUUGGGACCUGGUGCCGCGUCCACCAGGCACCAACGUGGUCACUGGCAAGUGGCUAUUUCGCCACAAGCUGACCUCGGACGGCUCCCUCGACCGCUACAAGGCCCGUUGGGUCCUUCGGGGCUUCACCCAGCGCCCCGGAGUGGACUACGACGAGACCUUCAGCCCUGUCGUCAAGUUCGCCACUGUUCGCGCCGUCCUCUCCCUCGCCCUCUCCCACGACUGGGCGAUCCAUCAGCUCGAUGUCAAGAAUGCCUUCCUCCAUGGCACUCUGACGGAGACUGUCUACUACAGCCAGCCCACCGGCUUCGUCGACGCUGACCGUCCGGACCUGGUUUGCCGGCUGAACCGAUCCCUGUACGGCCUCAAGCAGGCGCCACGGGCUUGGUACAGCCGCUUCGCCUCCUACCUGGCCUCCGUCGGCUUCGUCGAGGCCAAGUCGGACACGUCCCUGUUCAUCUACCGGCGCGGCGACGACACCGUCUACCUCCUGCUCUACGUCGACGACAUUGUGCUCACGGCAUCCACCGCCGACCUCCUUCACCGCACGAUCGUCGCCCUUCAGCGGGAGUUCGCGAUGAAGGACCUGGGGCCCCUCCACCACUUCCUCGGCGUCACCGCCGAACGUCGGCCUCAGGGUCUCUUCCUCCACCAGCGCCAGUACGCCAUCGACAUCCUGGAGCGGGCUGGCAUGUCUGACUGCAAGCCCUGCACCACGCCUGUCGACACUCAGGCGAAGCUCUCUGAGGACGACGGGCCUCCGGUCGCCGACGCGACGUCCUACCGGAGCCUCACCGGCGCGCUCCAGUACCUCACGUUCUCCAGGCCCGACAUCGCUUACGCCGUCCAGCAGGUGUGCCUGCACAUGCACACUCCGCGGGAGCCCCAUCUCACUGCGCUCAAGCGGAUUCUACGCUACCUCCGCGGCUCCCUCGACUACGGCCUCCUACUCCGCCCAUCCCCGACGUCGGAGCUCGUGGUCUACACCGACGCUGACUGGGCUGGCUGUCCCGACACGCGCCGGUCCACCUCCAGCUACGCCGUCUUCCUGGGCGCCAACCUCGUCUCUUGGGCCGCCAAGAGGCAGCCCGUCGUCUCUCGCUCCAGCGCUGAGGCCGAGUACCGUGCCGUGGCCAGCGGCGUGGCCGAGGCCUCCUGGCUGCGCCAGCUCCUCCACGAGCUUCACAGUCCCCUCCAGCGCGCCACCCUCGUCUACUGCGACAACGUCAGCGCGGUCUACCUCUCCACCAACCCCGUGCAGCAUCAGCGCACGAAGCAUGUGGAGAUCGACCUGCACUUCGUCCGCGAGCGUGUCGCUGCCGGUGACGUCCGCGUUCUCAGCGUCCCCACCACGCUUCAGUUCGCCGACAUCUUCACCAAGGGGUUACCGUCGAGUGUCUUUUUAGACUUCCGAUCCAGUCUCAACAUCUGUACAGGAUAGAGUUGUGACUGCGGGGGGGUGUUAGACUACCCGUCUAGGGUUUGUGUUAUUCCCUAUGUAAUGACCGUUAUACCCCUGUGUAAUGGGCCUUGGCCCAAUUACUCUCUCUAUUUAAUAUCACUCCCAACCCCUGAUUAGGGUAUGGGUUCCUAUUCUAACAUAAACGAAAAGGAUAGACUUUUAGAAAAGCAAGAGGAUCUUUAUAUGAAGAACAUGAUAAAUUUGUAAGUGUGCAAAAGUCUCUUGCUUUAGAAGUUAAAAGAAAUGAAAUGCUUUCAUGUGAAAUUUUUGCUUGUCAUGAGACUAUUUCUAGUUUAAAGAGCAUUAAUGAUGAUUUAAAUGCUAAAUUAGUAGAAGCAAAUAAGACUAGUUCUCAUGUGGAACAUGUAGUAAUUUGCAAUAGGUGUAAGGAUUUUAAUGUUGAUGCUUGCAAUGAACAUUUAAUUUCCAUUUCUAAAUUAAAUGAUGAAGUAGCUAGUCUUAAUGCCCAACUUAAGACUAGCAAAGAUGAUUUUGAUAAACUAAAAUUUGCAAGGGAUGCCUACACUAGUGGUAGACACCCCUCUAUUAAGGAUGGGCUUGGCUUUUGAAGGGAAGCUAAGAACUUAACAAGUCAUAAGGCUCCCAUCUCCACCAAGGAGAAAGGGAAGACCCCUAUGGCUAAUAGUGUUCAUAAAAAUCAUGCUUUCAUGUAUCAUGAUAGGAGAUUUUCUAGAAAUAUUCACUAUAAUAGAAGUUAUAAUGCUUUUGACUCACAUGCCAUGAUUGCUUCGAGUUCAAACUUCAAUGGUAGAUCUAGGAAGAAUAUUGUGUCUCAUGCUCCUAAGAAAGUGUAUAAUGGAUCUACCACUGUAUUUCAUGCUUGAAAUGCUAAAUUUGUUCUUUCAUGUAAAAAUGAGAGAGUAAUUGCUAAAAAGGUGGGGGCCAAAUGCAAGGGAGACAAGACUUGCAUUUGGGUCCCUAAGGCUAUUGUUACUAACCUUGUAGGACCCAACAAGAGUUGGGUACCUAAAACCCAAGCCUAAUUUGCCUUGCAGGUUUAUGCAUUCGGGGGCUCAAGCUGGAUUAUCGACAGCGGAUGCACAAACCACAUGACGGGGGAGAAGAAGAUGUUCACCUCCUACGUUAAGAACAAAGAUUCCCAAGACUCAAUCAUAUUCGGUGACGGGAAUCAAGGUAAGGUUAAAGGACUAGGAAAAAUAGCUAUUUCUUCCGAGCAUUCCAUUUCUAAUGUGUUUUUAGUAGAAUCGCUCGGUUAUAACUUGUUGUCUGUUAGUCAAUUAUGUAAUAUGGGUUACAACUGCUUAUUUACAAACGUAGAUGUGUCUGUCUUUAGAAGAAGUGAUGGUUCAUUAGCUUUUAAGGGUGUACUAGAUGGCAAACUCUAUUUAGUUGAUUUUUCGAAGGAGGAGGCCGAUCUAGAUGCAUGCUUAAUGAAAGUUGCCUAGAGGGGGGUGAAUAGGCAAGUUAAAACUUUUUCAACAAAAACUAGAAGCAAACUGGGUAAAACUGAAUUGAUCUCGAAAUUCACCCAGUUAACUUUGGAAAUGAGAUGUUCUAAAUGAUCCACAGGGUUCAAAGUAGUAGAUCUGAGAAGGACACUUCUCAAAAUUCACACACCAAAAAGAUAUAAACAAUUUUUUCGCGGGAUGGUGAGAGAACGAAGAACAUGAAUAAGCACAAUGAACAAGGACACAAGAGACACAAGAUUUAUCCCGAGGUUCGGUCACACCACCAAGGUGCCCUACUUCCUCGUUGAGGCGCCCACAAAGAGCCGGGUCUCUUUCAACCCUAAUCCUCCCUUUGCCGACCACAAAGGUCAAGCUCACACACUAAUCUUUGCUCAAACGAGCGGGUAAUACAAACUUUCUUGUGGUCUUCCACAAGAUUUGGAGACUCACAAGAGACACCUAGUCGUCUAGGAGCUAGAAGCUCCAAGAGUAAUGAAUCCACAAAGAACUCAAUGUAGUACCAAAGCUCGAAUCAAGAAGAAGAGCAAGAGAGAUUUAGAGAUGAAGCACAAAACCGCAACUCUCAAGCUCACUCAAAGAUUUCUCUCCAAAGAUUUGAAAUGGGAGAGGCAAGAGAUGUGUGAGAGAGAGGGAGGUGUUUCUUGGGUUAGAAAUGGAGUUCAAAUCGUGCUCACUGCUGUGGGGUGAGAGGUAGGAGGGAGUAUAUAUAGGUGGAGUUCAAAACUAGCCGUUUGGGCAGAUUUUUCUGCCUGAGACCGGUUGAACCGCCCCCUAGGGCGGUUGAACCGCCCCUGGCAGGCCUGGCAGCCUGUCUGCCAGUCUGACUGGCAGACUGACGCGCAGACUGAACGCAGACUGGUCAAAGUUGACCAACACCGGUUGAACCGCCCAGGGGGGGCGGUUGAACCGCCCCUGACACUUCUGGCGACCUGUUUGCCAGUCUGACUGGCAGACUGUUGGUCAGAGGUCAGAGGGGUCAGAGACCAGCUGAACUGUCCCUCAAGACCAGUUCAACCGGUCUUGACCAGUGAGUUUAGGAGAGAAAACCCCAGCUCAACUGCCCGGAGGCAAGUUCAGCUGGUGUAUGGUCAAAGAGGUUCACAGCUGAAGUUGAGUUCAGCUGAAGUUGAGAAAGCUCAACUUAGCUGAAGUUCAGCUCAACUGAAAAGCUCAGCUGCAGCUGAAAAAGCUCAACUCAGCUGAAGUUCAGCUCAGCUGCAGCUGAAAAAGCUCAACUCAGCUGAAGUCAAGUUCAGCUGAGAAGCUCAGCUGCAGUUGAAGAAGUUCAGCUGCUUUUCAACAAGAACACUCUAGGUUUCUCAAACCUAACCAUGGUCAACCAAAGAAUGUUAAAGAGAUUUUUUGCUUUUCAAAAAUAGCUUUUGAAUAGAGAGGUUUGAGCUUUGGCAAACACCAUCCUUCUUUUUGGAUCCCCCUUUAUAGUACGACGAUUCCUAUACUCAAGUUAAAUAAAAUAUAAUGAAGUAAACUCCUUGAGAAAUUGGUGUCUCAUGUGUGAUUUCUCCAUGGCAUUGCUUCAUAAGGAUCACAAACAUCUUUGUCUCACCUUUUGAAGCAAACUCAAAUCAAACCCUGUGACUUGUACCAUAUCACCAUAUGUGAGUUCAAAUCAUGGCUUCAAGUCACCAUACUGAUGCAUCAACAUGUUGUAACUCUUCAUAGCUGAUUAGUUCAUCGACUUAGUGCAAGUACUCUCUUCUUCACCUUAGCCAUGGUACCUCGGUCUACAAGCCGUCGCUUGGCCUUCACCUUCGCUUAGUUCCUCGAAGCCCUUUCCUUGCUAUCUUCACCCUAUCAAGCCAUUCUUGAGUCACAUCAUAUUGACCAUCCAUUGAGAGAAUCAUUUCUUUAAUAUUGUGAACCUUGCUUGAAUGUCUUCUAGAUAUAACCGUUAAGAUCAAUCAAGCUCUAGUUUGAUUCUCAUAGAAGCAUAUAUGGACUGAUAGUAAUAUGGUCAAGCCAAUUCAUGAUUCCUCAUAUCUUAUUCACUUUGGUUUGACCAAACCUCUUAAUCACUUCAUCCUCUAUUCUGAUCAUAUGUAUGUAGUGAUUUCUCAGGACUUGUCCAUAUAUUCAAACCAAUAUAGAGACCAUAUUAUAUCCAUUCACAUUGUCUCACUGGUUAUUUGACCUUGUGUUGAACCUUGUUCACUGAUCAUUAUACACUAUUCAAGUAUGUUCAUCAUACUGAAUUUCCUGUUCAACACUUAGCAAACUUGUUAGACCUUUAAAUGUGUUGUUAUCCAAAUCACCAAAACUCACAAAAGGGAUGAAUGCACUUUCAAUCUCCCCCUUUUUGGUGAUUGAUGACAACACAUUUAAAGCUUACAUAAGAUUUGAUAAAUAAGAUUUUAAAUCCUAUGAUAUAGUUUCCUCCCCCUAAAUAUGUGCAUUUCAGAAAAUAACACUUUUGUACUCAAAUGCCAAAAGCACAUAUUUAGGUCAAAGUAUAGACAACUUAUAUCAUACUAUUCAUAGGGUGCAGUGUGUCAUAAAAUAAACGUGAUGCUCAUGACAUGGAAUGCACUUAUCAACUUUCUUCAUCUUAUGUUUUUCUUAUGACUUCCCCUUUUUGUUAAUUAUUUCUCCCCUUUUUAAAAGUCUUCUAACACUUAGUUACAUAAGACUAAAGGUAAGCUUUAAUGCACAAUUUCUCCCCCUUUGUCAUAAAUCUCCAAAAAGGAUACAAAGAAUAUAAAGGAUAGAAAUUAUGAUUAAGCAAGAUGAGAACACACUAUUAUGAAAAGGGUCCUUAGAUGGCACAAAGGUAAUGGAGAAGUGUCAUAAGUGAUGUACCUUUGUGAAAGUCGCCUAGAGGGGGGGUGAAUAGGGCGAAACUGAAAUUCUCAAAAAUAAUCACAGCUACAAGCCGGGUUAGUGUUAGAAAUAUAAACGAGUCCGCAAGAGAGGGAGCAAAACAAAUCGCAAGCAAAUGAAGAGUGUGACACGCGGAUUUGUUUUACCGAGGUUCGGUUCUUGCAAACCUACUCCCCGUUGAGGAGGCCACAAAGGCCGGGUCUCUUUCAACCCUUCCCUCUCUCAAACGGUCCCUCGGACCGAAUGAGCUUCUCUUCUCAAAUCACUUGGGAAUCAAACUUCCCGCAAGGGCCACCACACAAUUGGUGCCUCUUGCCUCAAUUACAAGUGAGUGUUUGAUCACAAGAAAGAAUCAAGAAAGAAGAAAGCAAUCCAAGCGCAAGAGCUCGAAAGAACACAAGCAAAUCUCUCUCUCUAGUCACUAGAGCGUUGUGUGGAAUAUGGAGAGGAUUUGAUCUCUUUGGUGUGUCUAGAAUUGAAUGCUAGAGCUCUUGUAGUAGUUGGGAAGUGGAGAACUUGGAUACAAUGAAUGGUGGGGUGGUUGGGGUAUUUAUAGCCCCAACCACCAACUUGACCGUUGGUGGAGGCCGUCUGUUUGAUGGCGCACCGGACAGUCCGGUGCACACCGGACAGUCCGGUGCCCCCGCCACGUCACCAGUGCCGUUGGAAAUUGACCGUUGGAGUUCUGUCUUCUGGGCCCGCCUUGAUGUCCGGUGGCGCACCGGACAUGUACUGUAGGAUGUCCGGUGCGCCAGCAUGGGCGUGCCUGACCUCUGCGCGCGCUGGCGCGCAAUAAAUGCGCUGCAGGUAGCCGUUGGCGCCUGAAGUAGCCGUUGCUCCGCAGAUGCACCGGACAGUCCGGUGUACACCGGACAGUCCGGUGAAUUAUAGCGGAGCGGCUGGAGUGAAAACCCGAGGCUGGCGAGUUCCUGAGGCCGUCCUUCCAUGGAGCACCGGACAUGUCCGGUGCACACCGGACAGUCCGGUGAAUUAUAGCGCGAGUGCCUCUGGAAAUUCCCGAAGGUGGCGAGUUUGAGUCGGAGUCCUCUGGUGCACCGGACACUGUCCGGUGGCACACCGGACAGUCCGGUGCGCCAGACCAGAGGAGUCUUCGGAUGCUCCUUUGCAUUUUUGUUGAACCCAACACUUGGUCUUUUUAUUGGCUAAGUGUGAACCUUUGACACCUGUAUAACUUAUACACUAGAGCAAACUAGUUAGUCCAAAGAUUUGUGUUGGGCAAUUCAACCACCAAAAUUAUUUAGGAACUAGGUGUAAGCCUAAUUCCCUUUCAAUCUCCCCCUUUUUGGUGAUUGAUGCCAACACAAACCAAAGCAAAUAUAGAAGUGCAUAAUUGAACUAGUUUGCAUAAUGUAAGUGUAAAGGUUGCUUGGAAUUGAGCAAAUGUAACUACUUACAAGAUAUGCAUGGAUUGUUUCUUUCUUAUUUAACAUUUUGGACCACGCUUGCACCACAUGUUUUGUUUUUGCAAACUCUUUUGUAAAUCCUUUUCAAAGUUCUUUUGCAAAUGGUCAAAGGUAAAUGAAUAGGAUUUUGCAAAGCAUUUUCAAGAUUUGAAAUUUUCUCCCCCUGUUUCAAAUGCUUUUCCUUUGACUAAACAAAACUCCCCCUAAAGGAGAUCCUCCUCUUAGUGUUCAAGAGGGUUUUGAUAUAUCAAUUUUUAAAUACUACUUUCUCCCCCUUUUGAACACAAUAGGAUACCAAUUGAUAAAUACUCUUGGAAACACUAAGUUUUUAAAAUUGGUGGUGGUGCGGUCCUUUUGCUUUGGGCUCAUACUCUCUCCCCCUUUGGCAUGAAUCGCCAAAAACGGAAUUAUUAGAGCCCUCGAAGUAAUGUCUUCCUCUUUGGUCAUAAACAAAUGAGUUAAGAUUAUACCAAAGAUGAAGUCCUUUUGUUCUCUCCCCCAAAGAUGGAGAGUGGCUUGGAGCGACGGCGAAGGGUGAGUUGCGGAGUGGAAGCCUUUGUCUUUGCCGAAAGCUCCAAUUCCCUUUCAAUAUACCUAUGACUUGAUUUGAAAUAGACUUGGAAACACAUUAGUCAUAGCAUAUAAAAGAGACAUGAUCAAAAGUAUAUAAAUGAGCUAUGUGUGCAAUCUAACAAAAGAAGUUGCGGGAAUCAAGAAUAUUGAGCUCAUGCCUAAGUUUGGUAAAAGUUUGUUCAUCAAGUGGCUUGGUAAAGAUAUCGGCUAAUUGAUCUUUAGUGUUAAUGUAUGAAAUCUCGAUAUCCCCCUUUUGUUGGUGAUCCCUAAGAAAAUGGUACCGAAUGGCUAUGUGUUUAGUGCGACUAUGCUCGACGGGAUUGUCGGCCAUUUUAAUUGCACUCUCAUUAUCACAUAGCAAAGGGACUUUGGUUAAUUUGUAACCGUAGUCCCGCAAGGUUUGCCUCAUCCAAAGCAAUUACGCGCAACAAUGGCCUGCGGCAAUAUAUUCGGCUUCGGCGGUAGAAAGAGCGACCGAAUUUUGCUUCUUUGAAGCCCAAGACACCAAGGAUCUUCCCAAGAACUGGCAAGUCCCCGAUGUGCUCUUUCUAUUAAUCUUACACCCUGCCCAAUCGGCAUCCGAAUAACCAAUCAAAUCAAAUGUGGAUCCCCGAGGGUACCAAAGCCCAAACUUAGGUGUAUAAGCCAAAUAUCUCAAGAUUCGUUUUACGGCCGUAAGGUGUGAUUCCUUAGGGUCGGCUUGGAAUCUUGCACACAUGCAAACGGAAAGCAUAAUGUCCGGUCGAGAUGCACAUAAGUAAAGCAAUGAACCAAUCAUCGACCGGUAUACCUUUUGAUCCACGGACUUACCUCCCGUGUCGAGGUCGAGAUGCCCAUUUGUUCCCAUGGGAGUCUUGAUGGGCUUGGCAUCCUUCAUUCCAAACUUGCUUAGAAUGUCUUGAGUAUACUUCGUUUGGCUAAUGAAGGUGCCCUCUUGGAGUUGCUUUACUUGGAAUCCUAAGAAAUACUUUAACUCCCCCAUCAUAGACAUCUCGAAUUUCUGUGUCAUAAUCCUACUAAACUCUUCACAUGUAGACUCGUUAGUAGACCCAAAUACAAUAUCAUCAACAUAAAUUUGGCAUACAAACAAGUCAUUUUCAAGAGUUUUAGUAAAGAGUGUAGGAUCGGCUUUUCCGACUUUGAAGCCAUUAGCAAUAAGAAAAUCUCUAAGGCAUUUAUACCAUGCUCUUGGGGCUUGCUUGAGCCCAUAAAGCGCCUUAGAGAGCUUAUAGACAUGGUUAGGAUACUCACUGUCUUCAAAGCCGGGAGGUUGCUCAACAUAGACUUCUUCCUUGAUUGGUCCGUUGAGGAAGGCACUUUUCACGUCCAUUUGAUAAAGCUUGAAGCCAUGGUAAGUAGCAUAGGCUAAUAAUAUGCGAAUUGACUCAAGCCUAGCUACGGGUGCAUAGGUUUCACCGAAAUCCAAACCUUCGACUUGGGAGUAUCCCUUGGCCACAAGUCGUGCUUUGUUCCUCGUCACCACACCAUGCUCGUCUUGCUUGUUGCGGAAGACCCACUUGGUUCCUACAACAUUUUGAUUAGGACGUGGAACUAAAUGCCAUACCUCGUUUCUAGUGAAGUUGUUGAGCUCCUCUUGCAUUGCCAUCACCCAAUCCGCAUCUUGGAGUGCUUCCUCUACCCUGUGUGGCUCAAUAGAGGAAACAAAAGAGUAAUGUUCACAAAAAUGUGCAACUCGAGAUCGAGUGGUUACCCCCUUAUGAAUGUCGCCAAGGAUGGUGUCGACGGGGUGAUCUCGUUGGAUUGCUUGGUGGACUCUUGGGUGUGGCGGCCUUUGCUCUUCAUCCUCCUUGUCUUGAUCAUUUGCAUCUCCCCCUUGAUCAUUGCCGUCAUCUUGAGGUGGCUCAUUUGCUUGAUCUUUUACUUCAUCAACUUGAGCUUCAUCCUCAUUUUGAGUCGGUGGAGAUGCUAGCGUGGAGGAGGAUGGUUGAUCUUGUGCAUGUGGAGGCUCUUCGGAUUCCUUAGGACACACAUCCCCAAUGGACAUGUUCCUUAGCGCUAUGCAUGGAGCCUGUUCUUCACCUAUCUCAUCAAGAUCAACUUGCUCUACUUGAGAGCCGUUAGUUUCGUCAAACACAACGUCACAAGAAACUUCAACAAGUCCUGAGGACUUGUUAAAGACUCUAUAUGCCCUUGUGUUUGAGUCAUAUCCUAGUAAAAAGCCUUCUACAGUUUUAGGAGCAAAUUUAGAUUUUCGACCUCUCUUAACAAGAAUAAAGCAUUUGCUACCAAAAACUCUAAAAUAUGAAAUAUUUGGCUUUUUACCGGUUAGGAGUUCAUAGGAUGUCUUCUUGAGGAUUCGGUGUAGAUACAACCGGUUGAUAGCGUAGCAAGCGGUGUUGACCGCCUCGGCCCAAAACCGAUCCGAAGUCUUAUACUCAUCAAGCAUGGUUCUUGCCAUGUCCAAUAGAGUUCGAUUCUUCCUCUCCACUACUCCAUUUUGUUGUGGAGUGUAGGGAGAAGAGAACUCAUGCUUGAUGCCCUCCUCCUCAAGGAAGCCUUCAAUUUGAGAGUUCUUGAACUCCGUCCCGUUGUCGCUUCUAAUUUUCUUGAUCCUUAAGCCGAACUCAUUUUGAGCCCGUCUCAAGAAUCCCUUUAAGGUCUCUUGGGUUUGAGAUUUUUCCUGCAAAAAGAACACCCAAGUGAAGCGAGAAUAAUCAUCCACUAUUACAAGACAAUACUUACUCCCGCCGAUGCUUAUGUAAGCAAUCGGGCCGAAUAGAUCCAUGUGGAGUAGCUCAAGCGGCCUGUCGGUCGUCAUGAUGUUCUUGUGUGGAUGUUGGGUUCCAACUUGCUUCCCGGCUUGACAUGCGCUACAAAUCCUGUCUUUCUCAAAAUGAACAUUUGUUAAUCCUAAAAUGUGUUCUCCCUUUAGAAGCUUAUGAAGAUUCUUCAUCCCAACAUGGGCUAGUCGGCGGUGCCAGAGCCAACCCAUGUUAGUCUUAGCAAUUAAGCAAGUGUCGAGUUCAGCUCUAUCAAAAUCUACCAAGUAUAGCUGACCCUCUAACACUCCCUUAAAUGCUAUUGAAUCAUCACUUCUUCUAAAGACAGUGACACCUACAUCAGUGAAUAGACAGUUGUAGCCCAUUUGACAUAAUUGGGAUACGGAAAGCAAAUUGUAAUCUAAUGAAUCAACAAGAAAAACAUUGGAAAUGGAAUGGUCAGGUGAUAUAGCAAUUUUACCCAGUCCUUUGACCAAACCUUGAUUUCCGUCCCCGAAUGUGAUAGCUCGUUGGGAAUCUUGGUUUUCCUCAUAAGAGGAGAACAUCUUUUUCUCCCCUGUCAUGUGGUUUGUGCACCCGCUGUCGAGUAUCCAACUUGAGCCCCCGGAUGCAUAAACCUACAAAACAAUUUUAGUUCUUGACUUUAGGUACCCAAACGGUUUUGGGUCCUUUGGCAUUAGAAACAAGAACUUUGGGUACCCAAACACAAGUCUUAGAGCCCUUGUGUUUGCCCCCAACAAACUUGGCAACUACCUUGCCGGAUUUGUUAGUAAGCACAUAUGAAGCAUCAAAAGUUCUAAAUGAAAUAGCAUGAUCAUUUGAUGCAUUAGGAGUUUUCUUCUUAGGCAACUUAGCACGGGUUGGUUGCCUAGAGCUAGAUGUCUCACCCUUAUACAUAAAAGCAUGAUUAGGGCCAGAGUGAGACUUCCUAGAGUGAAUUCUCCUAAUUUUGCUCUCGGGAUAACCGGCAGGGUACAAAAUGUAACCCUCGUUAUCCUGAGGCAUGGGAGCUUUGCCCUUAACAAAGUUAGACAAAUUUUUAGGAGGGGCAUUAAGUUUGACAUUGUCUCCCCUUUGGAAGCCAAUGCCAUCCUUGAUGCCCGGGCGUCUCCCAUUAUAGAGCAUACUUCUAGCAAAUUUAAACUUUUCAUUUUCCAAGUUAUGCUCGGCAAUUUUAGCAUCUAAUAAUGCUAUAUGAUCAUUUUGUUGUUUAAUUAAAGACAUGUGAUCAUGAAUAGCAUUGAUAUCAACAUCUCUACAUCUAGUACAAAUAGAAACAUGCUCAACAUUAGAUGUAGAGGAUUUGCAUGAUUUUAAUUCAACAACCUUAGCAUGUAAUAUAUCAUUCUCACUUCUAAGGUUUGAGAUAGUAACAUUGCAAAUAUCAAAAUCCUUAGCCUUAGCAAUUAAAUUUUCAUUUUCUACUCUAAGGCUAGCAAGAGAAAUGUUCAAUUCUUUAAUCCUAGCAAGCAAAUCAUCAUUAUUAUCUCUAGGAUUGGGAAUUGAAACAUUACAAACAUGUGAAUCAACCUUAGCAUUUAAACUAGCAUUUUCAUUCUUAAGGUUGUCAAUCAUCUCACGGCAAGUGCUUAGCUUACUAGAUAGAUUUUGACAUUUUUCUACUUCUAGAGCAUAAGCAUUUUUAACCUUAACAUGCUUUUUAUUUUCCUUGAUUAGGAAGUCCUCUUGGGAGUCCAAGAGGUCAUCCUUUUCAUGGAUGGCACUAAUUAGCUCAUUCAGUUUUUCUUUUUGUUCCAUGUUAAGGUUGGCAAAAAGGAUACGCAAAUUAUCUUCCUCACCACUAGCAUUAUCAUCACUAGAAGAUUCAUAUUUAGUGGAGGAGUUAGAUUUAACCUUCUUCCUUUUGCCGUCCUUUGCCAUGAGGCACUUGUGGCCGACGUUGGGGAAGAGAAGUCCCUUGGUGACGGCGAUGUUGGCGGCGUCCUCGUCGUCGGAGGAGUCGCUUGAGCUUUCGUCGGAGUCCCAUUCCCGACAAACAUGGGCAUCGCCGCCCUUCUUCUUGUAGUACCUCUUCUUUUCCUUUCUUCUCCCCUUCUUGUCGUCACCCCUGUCACUAUCACUUGAUAAUGGACAUUUAGCAAUAAAGUGACCGGGCUUACCACACUUGUAGCACACUUUCUUGGAGCGGGGUUUGUAGUCCUUCCCCCUCCGAUGCUUGAGGAUUUGGCGAAAGCUUUUGAUAAUUAAAGCCAUUUCCUCAUUGUCGAGCUUGGAGGCGUCAAUUGGUUGUCUACUCGGUGUAGACUCCUCCUUCUUCUCCUCCGUUGCCUUGAAGGCCACCGGCUGUGCCUCGGACGUGGAGGGUUCGUCAAGCUCGUUGAUCUUCUUCGAUCCUUUAAUCAUACAUUCAAAGCUCACAAAAUUCCCGAUAACUUCCUCGGGGGUCAUUAGUGGGUAUCUAGGAUUACCACGAAUCAAUUGAACUUGAGUGGGGUUAAGAAAAAUGAGAGCUCUUAGAAUAACCUUAACCACCUCAUGGUCGUCCCACUUUUUGCUCCCGAGGUUGCGCACUUGGUUCACCAAGGUUUUGAGCCGGUUGUACAUAUCUUGUGGCUCCUCCCCUUGGCGAAGACGGAAGCGACCGAGCUCCCCCUCGAUCGUUUCCCGCUUGGUGAUUUUGGUGAGUUCAUGACCCUCGUGCGCGGUCUUGAGUAGGUCCCAAAUUUCCUUUGCAUUCUUCAACCCUUGCACUUUGUUGUAUUCCUCCUUGCUUAAAGAGGCGAGGAGUAUGGUUGUGGCUUGAGAGUUGAAGUGCUCGAUUUGGGCCACUUCGUCCGUAUCAUAAUCCUCAUCCCCUACAGAAGGUACCUGUGCUCCAAACUCAACAACAUUCCAUAUACUUUUGUGGAGUGAGGUUAGAUGAAAUUUCAUUAAAUCACUCCACCUAGCAUAAUCUUCGCCAUCAAAAGUUGGCGGUUUGCCUAAUGGAACGGAAAGCAAUGGAGUAUGUCUAGAUGUACGGGGAUAGUGUAAGGGAAUCUUACUAAACUUCUUGCGCUCUUGGCGCUUAGAAGUUACGGACAGCGCAUCGGAGUUGGAGGUCGAUGUUGAUGAAGUGUCGGUCUCGUAGUAGACCACUUUCCUCAUCCUCUUGUGCUUGUCGCCUUUCCGAUGCGACUUGUGAGAAGAAGAUUUUUCCUUCUUCUCUUUGUGGUGAGAAGAGGAAGAUCUUUUCUCCUUCCGUUUGGAGGAGUCCUUCUUCUUCUCCUUCCUCUUGGUGCGGGACUCUUCCGAUGAAGUGCUCCCGUGGCUUGUAGUGGGCUUUUCGCCGGUCUCCAUCUCCUUCUUGGCGUGAUCUCCCGACAUCACUUCGAGCGAUUAGGCUCUAAUGAAGCACCGGGCUCUGAUACCAAUUGAAAGUCGCCUAGAGGGGGGUGAAUAGGGCGAAACUGAAAUUCUCAAAAAUAAUCACAGCUACAAGCCGGGUUAGUGUUAGAAAUAUAAACGAGUCUGCAAGAGAGGGAGCAAAACAAAUCGCAAGCAAAUGAAGAGUGUGACACGCGGAUUUGUUUUACCGAGGUUCGGUUCUUGCAAACCUACUCCCCGUUGAGGAGGCCACAAAGGCCGGGUCUCUUUCAACCCUUCCCUCUCUCAAACGAUCCCUCGGACCGAAUGAGCUUCUCUUCUCAAAUCACUUGGGAAUCAAACUUCCCGCAAGGGCCACCACACAAUUGGUGCCUCUUGCCUCAAUUACAAGUGAGUGUUUGAUCACAAGAAAGAAUCAAGAAAGAAGAAAGCAAUCCAAGCGCAAGAGCUCGAAAGAACACAAGCAAAUCUCUCUCUAGUCACUAGAGCGUUGUGUGGAAUAUGGAGAGGAUUUGAUCUCUUUGGUGUGUCUAGAAUUGAAUGCUAGAGCUCUUGUAGUAGUUGGGAAGUGGAGAACUUGGAUACAAUGAAUGUUGGGGUGGUUGGGGUAUUUAUAGCCCCAACCACCAACUUGACCGUUGGUGGAGGCCGUCUGUUUGAUGGCGCACCGGACAGUCCGGUGCACACCGGACAGUCCGGUGCCCCCGCCACGUCACCAGUGCCGUUGGAAAUUGACCGUUGGAGUUCUGUCUUCUGGGCCUGCCUUGAUGUCCGGUGGCGCACCGGACAUGUACUGUAGGAUGUCCGGUGCGCCAGCAUGGGCGUGCCUGACCUCUGCGCGCGCUGGCGCGCAAUAAAUGCGCUGCAGGUAGUCGUUGGCGCCUGAAGUAGCCGUUGCUCCGCAGAUGCACCGGACAGUCCGGUGUACACCGGACAGUCCGGUGAAUUAUAGCGGAGCGGCUGGAGUGAAAACCCGAGGCUGGCGAGUUCCUGAGGCCGUCCUUCCAUGGAGCACCGGACAUGUCCGGUGCACACCGGACAGUCCGGUGAAUUAUAGCGCGAGUGCCUCUGGAAAUUCCCGAAGGUGGCGAGUUCGAGUCGGAGUCCUCUGGUGCACCGGACAUGUCCGGUGGUGCACCGGACACUGUCCGGUGGCACACCGGACAGUCUGGUGCGCCAGACCAGAGGAGCCUUCGGAUGCUCCUUUGCAUUUUUGUUGAACCCAACACUUGGUCUUUUUAUUGGCUAAGUGUGAACCUUUGACACCUGUAUAACUUAUACACUAGAGCAAACUAGUUAGUCCAAAGAUUUGUGUUGGGCAAUUCAACCACCAAAAUUAUUUAGGAACUAGGUGUAAGCCUAAUUCCCUUUCACUUUGUGUUUUACCUUUUCAAGGGGUUUCCAGACUUGUGUUGGAUUUAGAAUUCAUUUGCAAGCUCUUGUUGGCAUAAUUGUGACAUAGGUCCAAGAUAUCAAAUGAAGAAUGUCAUACUAACUGAAAGAUAAAUCUUGAUACCUGGAGUCUAAAUGUCACCUAGCAUUUUCUUAUCACAACAAGAGGCAACAUGAUAAUUGCACAAGUAUGGAUUAUGCAACUAGUGAUCAUGUAUGAAAAAUAUCAAUUGAAAAACACCAAUUGAUACAAUUUGAUAGAUAAAUAGAUCACUAAUAGCAUAUUACACUAAGUUAUCCUCAAGUUUUAGUGCACACAUAUGUAUAUGAAUUCAAUUGAUAUCUGUUGAGAGUACUUAUUUGCAACUUAAAGUACCAUUAGCAUAAAAGGAGUAUCAAUUGAACAUAAUCAUACAACAUAAGAAACAUGUGCACUAUUUAAUCAAUUAAGUUCUAGACAGGAGAAUCUAUAAGCUAUGCUACUUCAGAUAUUUGUAAUCAAAAAAGAUGUGAUACAUAUUUACCAAUUUUAGAUGACGUUGGAGUAGCAUAUACAGGAGAAACUCAUUCUCUUAUGAAAUGUAUAGAAGAUACAUUUAUUGGAGCAAAGAAUCUUUGAUACCCAUCAAAAUUUGCAGUGGAAGCGAUUGUCUUUGCCCGAAGAUUCCUUUCUAAUUCGAGACUACACACAUAAUAGACUUGGAAAUGAAGUUAGUCUCAAAGAUUCAAAUUAUAGACUAUUCUCCCCCUAAAUGUGUGCAUACAAGUGAUGAAUACCUGUUUAGCUUAUGCACUUGGACUUGUGAGGCCAGGGGAUUAAGUUCUACAAUUUGAACCUUGGUACAAAUAAAGUAUGAAAAUAUGAAAUUGCACCAAUUUAAGGAAUUACUCAUAAUCAAAAGGUAUACUAAUAGACAUGAUAUGCAAUAUUUUAAGCCAAGAUUCUUAAGAAGUUAGCAUGUUUGACUCAUACCUCACUAAGAUGACUUAAGACAAACUUAUGACAUCACCACAAGAGGUAUUAAUCAAAUAUCUAGAGAUUCUUUAAUCAUCACCACAAGUGCAACCUUAUGGCGUGACUUAAGAUAUUGCAUAUACAUGCACACACUAGCAUGUAAGAGCCUAGAUACACAAUUGUAAUACAAUAGUUCAUGGAGUGACACACCUUUGUUCUACGCCACAUGGUCUCCAUUAUAAUCAUGAAUUUCCAUCUUAGCUUUUGAUGGGCUUGACAUUUCAAAGAGAAACUUAUCCUCUUCAAACAAUUAAGAGAAAUUCUUCAUUUCUAUGGAACCAUUCAUCCUCAUUUGAUGUUCUCCAAGGUGUGAGACUACACAACAUGAACUUGAAAGAAUUCAUUAGUCUCACAAGAUAUAGGCUAAACUCUCCCUCAAUUUGUGCAUGCAAGAGUACACAAAGUACACUUAUGCACAUCAACAAUACGAGGUUAAAGGAGAUGUUUGCACUAUAUCUUGGUUUAACAUAACAUGCUUUACAUAGAUGAUGAAAAUUAAACCAAUUGAAAGUUUAAGAACUGAAAGUAUAUCAAUUGAAAUUCUGAAGGGUAAAGCAUGCUAAUAUGAACCUCAAACCUCAUAAUGAAGGAUAUCAUAUAAAUAUGUCACUACAUCUUCAUUAUUUGGUUGACAAAAAUGUAACUCCCUUUUUGAAUCACUGUGAUUUCUUUUCUCUUUAUGAUUUCAUCCAAGGCAAUCUUGAACUUCAUUCAUCUUGGCAUGGUUCAAUCAUACAUGAUAUGAGACCCAUUGAAACUCAAUGAUUGAAAUAACCAAGACUCUUAUAUCCGUAGAUUUUGAAUCCAUCUUGAAGGCACUUGGAAGGACCUUGUUCAAACACUUAGAAAAGAGAGCAUUAAAAACACAUGGGAAGAUUUUACAAAUGAUGAUCCUUAUAUGUGGAUGAAAAUGAACCAUCAUUCUUGAAACCCAAAAGGAUAGACUAAAUUCCUUUAAAAUUAGUGCACACAUAUAGUUGAUGUCAAAGUUAUAUGCACUAUUGAACAUUUUAUAUUGCAAGGAAUUUAACCUAUACUAUGGUACAUCCCACUAAGGAUAGAAUACUAAAACAACCGAAGGAGAAGAAGUUUUCAUGCCUUGGCCUCUGAUCAACUUCUUCUUACUUUAGUUGAAUAAUAUCCUUUAAGCUUGUGAUUUAUCCAAUUUAAAACAAGCACCAUCUCUUAACAUAGAUUUUCUAUGGAUAAACUCAACACAAGAGAUGGAAUUAGUAGCACAAGCACUAGUUUCUUAUUUAGCAACCCUUUUAUAUGUGGAAGACAAGCAUGUUGCUAAAAUAGAGAAACCUCAUAAUAUGGACUAAAUUUCCCUUGAGCCCUCAUGCACAAUAUAUUUUAAAUGACAUGAAUAAUAUGCAUGGUUGUUCAAUGAAGUCUAAAGGGCUGACUUAAUCCAUAUUAUGGUGAGUGUCUAAUAAAUAAGAAUCAAAUCCAAAUUAACUAGAUAGAGAAUACGUCACAUAAUUUUGGAUUGUGCACCAUAUGAUAAUAUUCAUUCAUCUUCCAAUUAGACCUUUAUUUCAUAAUCAACAAUUGAUGUAUAUCCUCAAGUGCUUCUUUUUCCUUAGUGGCUACACAAGUCACAAAAGAGAUAAGAUUUAAAAAUAAUAUGCACUUGAGAUUCAGUUGUUACCACCCUUGCUACUAUCUCUAAAUAUGAUUUAUACAUUCAUUAUCGAGCACCCAACUUGAUCCAUUGAAGGAGUGAUCCUGCAAAACAAGUUUAAGCUUCGUAUCUUGGUACCCAAUUUGAAUUGGGUCCUUUGAGAUUAGUAGUAAGAGCCUUGGGUACCCACACAUUUCUUAUUGUGGCCUUUCUCUUUGUGUAGGCACCAACAUAUACUUGACAACCAUCUUACAUGGUUUCAAGUCAAUAUUUAAUCACAUAGAUAAAACUAGAGUUAAGAAUAUGAGCCUUUUCUCCUUUUAUUAAUACAUCAUUGUGUUGCCUUCUUGAUGAUGAACCUACCUUGACUUUGGGUGCACCUAGCUUAUCAAGGUUAGUCGCACAAGCAUUCAUAUCAUAAAGACAAGUUAUGCAUGGAAUUUACAACUUAGUGAUCCAAUUCAAUGUGAAGCAUAUGGAUAUCGAUUGAAGUAGAUUUCUAAGAUAUCAAAAUAUGGGUUUCCAAAAUUUAGAGAGUAUGGAUCACUAAUUGUACCUUUUACAGUUUAAAAAUUAUAUCCAUGUUAGUGCAUAUGUAUGUGAUGAAUAUCAACAAAAAGAUUCUUAUGCACUUUUAGAAUUAACGAUAAGGGAAUUUUAAACUGCAUCAAGAGUAGCUAUUUAGAAAACAAAGAUUACAAUCCAUAUGAAUGAGAUACAAAUUUACCAUUUUGGAUUGUCUUAUUAUAGCUUACUCAAGUGAAACUUAUUCUCUAUGACACACGAUAUAUAAUGUUCUCCCACUAGAUAUGUGCAUCAAGUAUUUGAAUGACUUACCACAUGCACUUUCAAUUCAGUUAAGAAUCUCAUGAGGAGUAUAUUACAUAUCAUGGUCAAGGCAUGACAAAUUUGCAAUGAAUUAACUUAUGCCUAAGAAUACUUACCACCAUAUAGAAUGUACCAUUUGUUAUACCAAUUGAAAGGUCUUGCUAUAUGAGAUGGUGUGAUCUAAGUAUUCUUCUUGUCUUCAUUCAUGGAGACUUCCUUCUUUAGCUUGUUAUCUCUUUUCCUUUUAAAACUAGUCGAAAAGCACUUUGAAAAGAGGUAUUAGUAGUACAAGGAAAUAUUUAAUGAAUGAUGAUAUUUAUAUAUGAAUGGCAAACAAAUCAUCAUUUAUGAGGCAUAAAGGCAUAAAUUAAAUUCCUUUUAAAUUAAUGCACAUGGAUGAGUGAAUUAAUAAUAUGCACCAAUUUACAAAUUUAAGCCAAAAAGAAUUUAACUUUCAUAUUGACAUUUUUUUCUUCAUAAAAUAGAUUAUUACGAAUUGAAAGAAUGCCACUUGAAAGGAACUAUUAUUGGUCACAUACCAAAUGAAACAGUAAAAGUCUGCAAAAAUAAAGCUGAAAAGGUACUGCAGAAAAAGUGAAAACGCAAUUGACGCGUUCUGAAAAGGUGACCUGACGCGACAAAAAAAUGACUGAAAAAGUGCUGCAAAAGUUGAAUGAAAAAGUGCUGCAAAAGUUACUGAAAAGGUGCUGCAAAAGUUGCUGAAAAGGUGCUGCAAAAGUUGAUCUGACGCCUGAAAAAGGUGUUGUUGCAGACUGAAAAAGCGUCUGAAAAAGGGCUGACGCAGUCUGAAAAAAUGGUCAGACUGGCCGGUCAAACUGUGCUAGACCGGUUCAACCGGUCCUGGACACCGGUUCAACCGGUUUCAGCCAGGGGGUUUCCUGGUGAAUACCAGCCGAAUCUGAAGUUCAACUUAGAAGUUCAGCUGGUCUCCCCAGCUGAGCUAGAAAGUUCAGCUGGUUAGACCAGUUGAGCUUGGAAUGAAAAUUUUAAAAUAAUUUUCCACAAUAAACCUCAUUUCAAAUUUUAAAAUGUACACAUAGAUUGAAUGACACACUCUAUUUUAGAAACACAUUCUCAUGUUGUGAAACUACAUAAUUCACUUAGAUAAAAACAUUAGUCUCACAACUCUAGUCAUAUAGAGAAUUCCCCUUUUGGUAAGUGCUUUAAGAAUUUGAAUUUCUUACUUAGCACUCUAUUCAUUUAAGAACAUGAGAUAAUACUCUUUAUGUCUAGGUCAUGGAAAUAAUACGAUAAUUAAUUUGAAAUAUGCCACAAGAUACAUACAAUCAAUUUAAAGCAUGUAGAUUGUCACAAUAUAAAAAUAUGAACUUGCAAUCUACCAUAUAAUUAGAUCCUUUCCAAAGCAAGGUAAAAUCUUUUAAGUUCAUUCUCAAGUGCUUCAUUUUUCCUAUGUGGCUACAAAAGACACAAAGGAAUAUACCAAUUAAAAGCAAUGUGCACUUAAGAAUUAAUUGUUACCAUCCUUUGGAUAUCACUUGGUUGUAGGCCUUUUGCUUGAUUCCCACAAAGGUUAAUCCUUAUUCCCUACAACACAAGUUCUUGCUAGAGAUGAAUAUGAAGUUAGUGAUAUAACAACUCAAUUCAUCUUUGGGUCAAUCUUAAAGGAUAUACAAUGUAAGAUUGAUAGCUUGAGAUAAGAAUUGAGUUAAACCGCUCAAGCACCCCAAAGCUUCAUAUCAUCUGUGGGUACCUGCAAAACUUUUUAAGUACAUUUUGGUACCCAUUUUUGGAUGGGUCCACCAAGGUUAGCUAGCAAGUACUUAGGCACCCAAAUGGCCUUUGUGCUAGUUUUAGGUGAACUAAUUACCUUUCUAGCACAAAUGUCAUUUUUGGGUCUCCUAAGCGAAUAUGAAUGAAUUGACAUGGUAGGCUUAGGAUACUUACUCAUGGGACAAUCCUUGCAUAGGUGUCCCUUUCUUCGGUAAGUGUAGCAAAUCUGAUUUUUAAUUUUGCAAGACUCCUUCUUGCCUUGCUUCUUGUUUGCUACAUGGUUAGUGAGCCUCUUUCUUUCUAAAGUUAAGCCACUAUCUUUUAUGUAGGGACAUGACUUAAUCUCAUGUCCAUUCUCAUGACAUUGAUAACACUUUCUAGUGCAUCUUCUCUUAUUUGGAAGAGUGGCUUGUUUGUUACCUUGUGUGGAGCAUGUGGAGACGUGGUUGAGGCACUUGUCAUGAGCUUUGGAUUUCUUAUCUUGAUGUUUGCUCAUGACUUUCUUGGAAAGCUUGGUAUUCUUUUGAAGGGGUUUUGUGCAUGCUACGGUUGUCCCCUUCUCAAGCUUUUUCACCAUAUUAUCACGGUUAUCUUGAGAAGGUUGAGCAUGACACUUUCCCUUCAAAAGAGUUAAGCUCCUUCUUUGCCUUCCAACUUCUUCCUUGAGCUCUUUAUUUUCUUGUGUGAUAGAAAUAUCACUAGUUCCUGAAAUUUCUAGCUCAAUGGAAGAUUGGCUUUCUUGAGAGCAACAUUUGUUAGCACAUGAUAAUAUAGUUUCUACUUGAGUACAUGUGCAUAUGUGAGGUUGGUAUGAUUUCAAAUUAGGUAACACAACCUCAUGAGCCAUUUCUAACAUGAUAUGUGAAUUCAUAAAUUUAUUAUGAGAGCACACAAGCAUAUCAUGUUUUUCUUGCAAAGCUAGAUUUUCAAUAUUUAGCCUUUCUAUCGUGUUCUUGAACAUAGCAUUUUUAUUUUCUAAUUGAGCAAUAUAUGAUGAAUGAUUAACAACUUUAAUUUGCUCAAUUGAAAUGUCUUCAUACCUUUGGACCAAAUCAUCAUGAGAGCACUUUAGCUUCUCAUGCUCUUUGGUCAACUUCUCUAAGUCUUCGAUUUUUCUGAUGAGGAAGUCUUCUUGCUUAUGAAGCAUUUCUUUUUGUUCUUCCACUCUUUUCAUGAGUUUGAGCAAGCUCAUCCGAUGUUUCUUGCUUAGCUGAGCGAAGAAUUGUUGAAGAUCAUCCUCAUCUUCACUAUCACUUUCUUGCUCCUCCUCAUCCUCACUUUCGCUUUCACUGUCACUCUCAUUAGCAAUAAAGCACAUAUGAGAAGUGGAUUUGAAAGACGAACCUUGUGAAGAGGUGGAUUCGUCGUUUGGUCUCCAUCGAUCAUUUUCUUCUUCAAUUUUGUUCUUCGCCUCAUCUUCCUUCAUUUUGAGGAACAUCCUUUCGGCGAUUCUCAUGGCAAGGUCUAUUGCCCUAGGAUCAACAUCUGCACCAAAAGAUGAAGUCGAGGCAACCUCAACUUUUUCAAGCUUAGAAGCACUUUUGUUUCUUAGUCCCCUCGACAUGAUCUUUCCUCACGCGGUUAAGCGUUAGAACGAGGAUUAGGCUCUGAUACCAAUUGAAAGUUGCCUAGAGGGGGGUGAAUAGGCAAGUUAAAACUUUUUCAACAAAAACUAGAAGCAAACUGGGUAAAACUGAAUUGAUCUCGAAAUUCACCCAGUUAACUUUGGAAAUGAGAUGUUCUAAAUGAUCCACAGGGUUCAAAGUAGUAGAUCUGAGAAGGGCACUUCUCAAAAUCCACACACCAAAAAGAUAUAAACAAUUUUUUCGCGGGAUGGUGAGAGAACGAAGAACAUGAAUAAGCACAAUGAACAAGAACACAAGAGACACAAGAUUUAUCCCGAGGUUCGGUCACACCACCAAGGUGCCCUACUUCCUCGUUGAGGCGCCCACAAAGAGUCGGGUCUCUUUCAACCCUAAUCCUCCCUUUGCCGACCACAAAGGUCAAGCUCACACACUAAUCUUUGCUCAAACGAGCGGGUAAUACAAACUUUCUUGUGGUCUUCCACAAGAUUUGGAGACUCACAAGAGACACCUAGUCGUCUAGGAGCUAGAAGCUCCAAGAGUAAUGAAUCCACAAAGAACUCAAUGUAGUACCAAAGCUCGAAUCAAGAAGAAGAGCAAGAGAGAUUUAGAGAUGAAGCACAAAACCGCAACUCUCAAGCUCACUCAAAGAUUUCUCUCCAAAGAUUUGAAAUGGGAGAGGCAAGAGAUGUGUGAGAGAGAGAGGGAGGUGUUUCUUGGGUUAAAAAUGGAGUUCAAAUCAUGCUCACUGCUGUGGGGUGAGAGGUAGGAGGGAGUAUAUAUAGGUGGAGUUCAAAACUAGCCGUUUGGGCAGAUUUUUCUGCCUGAGACCGGUUGAACCGCCCCCUAGGGCGGUUGAACCGCCCCUGGCAGGCCUGGCAGCCUGUCUGCCAGUCUGACUGGCAGACUGACGCGCAGACUGACCGCAGACUGGUCAAAGUUGACCAACACCGGUUGAACCGCCCAGGGGGGGCGGUUGAACCGCCCCUGACACUUCUGGCGACCUGUUUGCCAGUGUGACUGGCAGACUGUUGGUCAGAGGUCAGAGGGGUCAGAGACGAGCUGAACUACCCCUCAGGACCAGUUCAACCGGUCUUGACCAGUGAGUUUAGGAGAGAAAACCCCAGCUCAACUGCCCGGAGGCAAGUUCAGCUGGUGUAUGGUCAAAGAGGUUCACAGCUGAAGUUGAGUUCAACUGAAGUUGAGAAAGCUCAACUUAGCUGAAGUUCAGCUCAACUGAAAAGCUCAGCUGCAGCUGAAAAAGCUCAACUCAGCUGAAGUUCAGCUCAGCUGCAGCUGAAAAAGCUCAACUCAGCUGAAGUCAAGUUCAGCUGAGAAGCUCAGCUGCAGUUGAAGAAGUUCAGCUGCUUUUCAACAAGAACACUCUAGGUUUCUCAAACCUAACCAUGGUCAACCAAAGAAUGUUAAAGAGAUUUUUGCUUUUCAAAAAUAGCUUUUGAAUAGAGAGGUUUGAGCUUUGGCAAACACCAUCCUUCUUUUUGGAUCCCCCUUUAUAGUACGACGAUUCCUAUACUCAAGUUAAAUAAAAUAUAAUGAAGUAAACUCCUUGAGAAAUUGGUGUCUCAUGUGUGAUUUCUCCAUGGCAUUGCUUCAUAAGGAUCACAAACAUCUUUGUCUCACCUUUUGAAGCAAACUCAAAUCAAACCCUGUGACUUGUACCAUAUCACCAUAUGUGAGUUCAAAUCAUGGCUUCAAGUCACCGUACUGAUGCAUCAACAUGUUGUAACUCUUCAUAGCUGAUUAGUCCAUCGACUUAGUGCAAGUACUCUCUUCUUCACCUUAGCCAUGGUACCUCGGUCUACAAGCCGUCGCUUGGCCUUCACCUUCGCUUAGUUCCUCGAAGCCCUUUCCUUGCUAUCUUCACCCUAUCAAGCCAUUCUUGAGUCACAUCAUAUUGACCAUCCAUUGAGAGAAUCAUUUCUUUAAUAUUGUGAACCUUGCUUGAAUGUCUUCUAGAUAUAACCGUUAAGAUCAAUCAAGCUCUAGUUUGAUUCUCAUAGAAGCAUAUAUGGACUGAUAGUAAUAUGGUCAAGCCAAUUCACGAUUCCUCAUAUCUUAUUCACUUUGGUUUGACCAAACCUCUUAAUCACUUCAUCCUCUAUUCUGAUCAUAUGUAUGUAGUGAUUUCUCAGGACUUGUCCAUAUAUUCAAACCAAUAUAGAGACCAUAUUAUAUCCAUUCGCAUUGUCUCACUGGUUAUUUGACCUUGUGUUGAACCUUGUUCACUGAUCAUUAUACACUAUUCAAGUAUGUUCAUCAUACUGAAUUUCCUGUUCAACACUUAGCAAACUUGUUAGACCUUUAAAUGUGUUGUUAUCCAAAUCACCAAAACUCACAAAAGGGAUAAAUGCACUUUCACUUAAUCGCUAAGACUAGCAUGGGCUGGCUGUGGCAUCGCCGUCUAGCACAUGUGGGGAUGAAGAACCUUCACAAGCUUCUAAAGGGAGAACAUGUGUUAGGUCUAACAAAUGUAACUUUCGAAAAAGAUAGACCUUGUGCAGCUUGUCAAGCAGGAAAACAAGUGGGAAGUGCUCAUCACAUCAAGAAUGUGAUGACUACAUCAAGACCUCUGGAGCUAUUGCAUAUGGACCUCUUCGAACCCGUCGCCUACCUUAGCAUCGGGGGAAGUAAGUAUGGUCUUGUUGUUGUUGUUGAUUUUUCCCGCUUCACUUGGGUAUUCUUUUUGCAGGAUAAAUUGGAAACCCAAGAGACCCUCAAGCGCUUUUGAAAGUUGCCUAGAGGGGGGGUGAAUAGGCAAGUUAAAACUUUUUCAACAAAAACUAGAAGCAAACUGGGUAAAACUGAAUUGAUCUUGAAAUUCACCCAGUUAACUUUGGAAAUGAGAUGUCUAAAUGAUCCACAGGGUUCAAAGUAGUAGAUCUGAGAAGGGCACUUCUCAAAAUCCACACACCAAAAAGAUAUAAACAAUCUUUCACGAAAUGGUGAGAGAAGGAAGAACACAAACAAACACAAUGAGCAAGAACACAAGAGACACAAGAUUUAUCCCGAGGUUCGGUCACACCACCAAGGUGCCCUACUUCCUCGUUGAGGCGCCCACAAAGAGUCGGGUCUCUUUCAACCCAAAUCCUCCCUUUGCCGACCACAAAGGUCAAGCCCACACAAUAAUCUUUGCUCAAGCGAGCGGGUAAUACAAACUUUCUUGUGGUCUUCCACAAGAUUUGGAGACUCACAAGAGACACCUAGUCGUCUAGGAGCUAGAAGCUCCAAGAGUAAUGAAUCCACAAAGAACUCGAUGUAGUACCAAAGCUCGAAUCAAGAAGAGCAAGAAGGAUUUAGAGAUGAAGCACCAAAAUCGCAGCUCUUCAAUCUCACUCAAAGAUUUCUCUCCAAAGAUUUGAAAUGGGAGAGGCAAGAGGUGUGUGAGAGAGAGUGGGAGGUGUUUCUCAGGUUAGAAAUGGAGUCCAAGUCGUGCUCUUAUGUGGGGAAGAGUGUGGGAGGUGUAUAUAAAGGUGCCCCCAAAAGCUAGUGGCCGUUGGGGAAAUCUGACUGAAAUUCGGUUGAACUGGAUUCCACCAGUCGGUUUUCGGUUCACUGGCGGACUCAGUCCGAGACUAGACCGGACUCAAAUUCGGUUCAACCGGUUUCAAAUUCGGUUGAACCGGAUUCAAAAUUUGGUUGAACCGUUUUCCAAAAAUCUGCACAUGACUUUUUCUGACAGGACUGACUGGCAGAGACAGAGGGGAACAGUGCAGAAACCGAUUGAACCGGUUUUAGGUCCGGUUGAACCGGUUUUUUAACUGUUGCACAGAUUUUGAGAAAACCGAAGUGAAACCAGGGUAAAAUGGAAGUUUUAGAUCAAGGAUUUUGAGCUUUAGUACCACACCAACCUUCUUUUUGGACCCCCCUUGAUAGUACGAUGAUUCCUAUACUCAAGUUAAAUAAAAUAUAGUUAAGUAAACUCCUUGAGAAAUUGGUGUCUCAUGUGUGAUUUCUCCAUGGCGUUGCUUCAUAAGGGUCACAAACAUCUUUGUCUCACCUUUUGAAGUAACCACAAAUCGAGCCUGUGACUUGUGCCAUUUCACCAUAUAUGAGUUCAAAUCAUGGCUUCAAGUCACCUUACUGAUGCAUCAACAUGUUGUAACUCUUCAUAGCUAAUUAGUUCAUCGACUUAGUGCAAGUACUCUCUUCUUCACCUUAGCCAUGGUACCUCGGUCUACAAGCCGUCGCUUGGCCUUCACCUUCGCUUAGUUCCUCGAAGCCCUUUCCUUGCUAUCUUCACCCUAUCAAGCCAUUCUUGAGUCACAUCCUAUUGAGCAUCCAUUGAGAGAAUCAUUUCUUCAAUAUUGUGAACCUUGCUUGAAUGUUAUCUAGAUAUAACUGCUAAGAUCAAUCAAGCUCUAGUUUGAUUCUCAUAUAUUCAUAUAUGGACUAAUAGUAAUAUGGUCAAGCCAAUUCACGAUUCCUCAUAUCUUAUUCACUUUGGCUUGACCAAUCCUCUUAAUCACUUCAACCUCUAUUAUGAUCAUAUUUAUGCAUAGUGAUUUCUCAGGUCUUGUCCAUAUAUUCAAACCAAUAUAGAGACCAUAUUAUAUCCAUUUGCAUUGUCUCACUGGUUAUUUGACCUUGUGUUGAACCUUGUUCACUGAUCAUUAUACACUAUUCAAGUAUGUUCAUCAUACUGAAUUUCCUGUUCAACACUUAGCAAACUUGUUAGACCUUUAAAUGUGUUGUUAUCCAAAUCACCAAAACUCACAAAAGGGAUGAAUGCACUUUUAGCUUUCUAAGGCGAGCUCAAAACGAGUUUGAGCUCAAGGUGAAAAAGAUAAGCGACAAUGGGUCCGAGUUCAAGAACCUGCAAGUGGAGGAGUUUCUUGAGGAGGAAGGAAUCAAGCACGAGUUCUCCGCUCCCUACACACCACAGCAAAAUGGUGUUGUAGAGAGGAAGAACAGGACACUUAUAACAUGGCGAGGACGAAGCUUAGAGAAUUCAAGACGCCCGAGCGGUUUUGGUCGGAAGCUGUGAACACGGCUUGCCACGCCAUAAACCGGGUCUACCUUCAUCACCUCCUCAAGAAGACAUCAUACGAGCUACUAACCGGUAACAAACCCAACGUUUCGUAUUUUCGAGUUUUUGGGAGUAAAUGCUACAUUCUGGUAAAGAAAGGUAGAAAUUCAAAAUUUGCUCCCAAAGUUGUAGAAGGGUUUUUGUUAGGUUAUGACUCAAAUACAAAGGCGUAUAGAGUCUUCAACAAAUCAUCGGGUUUGGUUGAAGUCUCUAGCGACGUUGUAUUUGAUGAGACUAAUGGCUCUCCAAGAGAGCAAGUUGAUCUUGAUGAUGUAGAUGAGGAUGAUGUUCCAACGGACGCAAUUCGUACCAUGGCAAUUGGAGACGUGCGACCAUAGGAACACAAGGAGCAAGAUCAACCUUCUUCCUCAACGAUGGUGCACCCCCAACUCAAGAUGACGAACAGGUCCCUCAAGAAGAGGCGUGUGAUCCCAGGGAGCAAAGGAUGUCGAAGAUGAGGAGGAAGAAGUACCACAUGCCCCUACAACUCAAGUUCGAGCGAUGAUUCAAAGGAAUCAUCCCGUCGACCAGAUUUUGGGUGACAUUAGCAAGGUAGUAACCACUCGCUCUAGAUUAGCUGAUUUCUGUGAGCAUUACUCUUUUGUCUCUUCUAUUGAGCCUUUCAGGGUAGAAGAGGCCUUGCUAGAUCCGGACUGGGUGUUGGCCAUGUAGGAAGAGCUCAACAACUUCAAGUGUAAUGAAGUUUGGACACUGGUGCCACAUCCCAAGCAAAACGUUGUGGGAACCAAGUGGGUGUUCCGCAACAAACAGGACGAGCACGGGGUGGUGACAAGGAACAAGGCUCGACUUGUGGCAAAAGGUUAUGCCCAAGUCGCAGGUUUGGACUUUGAGGAGACUUUCGCUCCUGUGGCUAGGCUAGAGUCGAUUCGUAUUUUGUUAGCCUAUGUCGCUCACCAUUCUUUCAGGUUGUUCCAAAUGGACGUGAAUCGCGCUUUCCUCGACGGGCCAAUCAAGGAGGAGGUGUACGUGGAGCAACCCCCUGGCUUUGAGGAUGAACGGUACCCAGACCACGUGUGUAAGCUCUCUAAGGCGCUCUAUGGACUUAAGCAAGCCCCAAGAGCAUGGUAUGAAUGCCUUAGAGACUUUUUAAUUGCUAAUGCUUUCAAGGCUGGGAAAGCCGAUCCAACUCUUUUCACUAAGACUUAUGACGGUGAUCUAUUUGUGUGCCAAAUUUAUGUCGAUGACAUAAUAUUUGGUUCUACUAACCAAAAGUCUUGUGAAGAGUUUAGCAAGGUGAUGACUCAAAAAAUCGAGAUGUCGAUGAUGGGCGAGUUGAACUACUUCCUUGGGUUCCAAGUGAAGCAACUCAAGGAUGACACCUUCAUCUCUCAAACGAAGUAUACACAAGAUUUGCUCAAGCGGUUUGGGAUGAAGGACGCCAAGCCCGCAAAGACGCCAAUGGGAACCGAUGGACAUGUCGACCUCAACAAAGGAGGUAAGUCCGUUGAUCAAAAGGCAUACCGGUCUAUGAUAGGGUCUUUACUUUAUUUAUGUGCUAGUAGACCGGAUAUUAUGCUUAGCGUAUGCAUGUGUGCUAGAUUUCAAUCCGACCCAAGGGAGUGUCACCUUGUGGCUGUUAAGCGAAUUCUUAGAUAUUUAGUUGCUACGCCUUGCUUCAGAAUCUGGUAUCCAAAGGGGUCUACCUUUGACUUAAUUGGAUAUUCAGACUCCGAUUAUGCUGGAUGUAAGGUCGAUAGGAAGAGUACAUCAGGGACUUGCCAAUUCCUAGGAAGGUCCCUGGUGUCGUGGAGUUCUAAGAAACAAACUUCCGUUGCCCUAUCCACCGUUGAGGCCGAGUACGUUGCUGAAAGGGAAAUGUGCCCUUGGGCCAUUUCUAAGUAUUUUGGUGAUUGAGUGCCAACGCAAGUGCUUUUGUGUUGAUCUAUGCAAUAUGGUGAACAAAGUGCAAAUCAAGUCAAAAGGUAUGUUUCUAGACUUAGUACAUUGUUUUAUGGACUAAUGUAUUGCAUCUAAGUGCUGGAAACAGGAAAAAUUGAAUUGGAAAUGAGAUGACUUUGUUCAGCCAAAGUCUGCUCAGUCUGGGUGCACCGGACUGUCCGGUGGUGCACCGGACAGUGUCCGGUGCGCCAGGCUGGCUCUGGCGAACAGGCUGCUCUCGGGACUUCGACGGCGGUGUACGACUAAAAUUCACCGGUCCGUCCGGUGGUGCACCAGACUGUCCGGUGAGUCGUUCACAAGCGAACUCGUCGCUCUCGGGAGAUGAUUAACGGCGUACGGCUAAAAUUCACCGGUCUGUCCGGUGGUGCACCGGACUGUCCGGUGAGUCAACGGUCAGCCGGGGCAACGGUCGGCCGAGGAUUCCGCGCGUGACGCGUGGCCGAGCCAACGGUCACAUUGGUGCACCGGACUGUCCGGUGUGCACCGGACAGUGUCCGGUGCGCCAACGACUCUCAGACUCCAACGGUCGGCUUCGCCAAAUAAGGAAGGAUAUCUGCACCGGACAGUGUCCGGUGGUGAACCGGACUGUCCGGUGCGCCAGUCGACAGAAGGCAAGAUCUGCCUUCCAGAAUUGCUCUCAACGGCUCCUAGCUGCCUUGGGGCUAUAAAAGGGACCCCUAGGCGCAUGGAGGAGUAUACCAAGCAUUCCUUGAGCAAUCUUGAUCACUCACACUUCAUUCUUGCGCACUUGUUCGACAUUCUAGUGAUUUGAGCUCUGUUCUAGUGUGCUAGUCUUUCGAGCUUAAGUCUGGGUCUUGUGUGUGCGUAUUUGCUGUGAUCUUAGUGUCUUGUGUGAGUUGCUAAUCCCUCCCUUGCUCCGUGCUUCUUUGUGAACUUCAAGUGUAAGGGCGAGAGGCUCCAAGUUGUGGAGAUUUCUCGCGAACGGGAUUAAGAAAAGCAAGCAAAACACUGUGGUAUUCAAGUGGGUCUUUGGACCGCUUGAGAGGGGUUGAUUGCAACCCUCGUCCGUUGGGACGCCACAACGUGGAGUAGGCAAGCGUUGGUCUUGGCCGAACCACGGGAUAACCACUUUGCCAUCUCUGUGAUUGAUCUCUUGUGGUUAUUGUGUUUUUUGAGACUCCUCUCUAGCCACUUGGCAAUUAUUGUACUAACACUUAACCAAGUUUUUGUGGCUUAAGUUUCAAGUUCUACAGGAUCACCUAUUCACCCCCCCUCUAGGUGCUCUCAAUUGGUAUCGGAGCCGUUCUCUUCACAAAGGGACUAAUCGCCCGAAGAGAUGGAUCCUAAGGGGAAGGGAAUCGUGAUCAACGAUAAAGAGAAGGAGUCCUUCGUCAACGAGCUGAAGGAUGACAAGCCUAUCGACUCGGGCUCGGGCCAUAGACGCAAAGAUGGGAAGAAGAAGAAGACAAGACGCAUCAAGGAGAUCGUCUAUUACGACGACAGCGAUGAGUCUACUUCUUCCCAAAAGGACAAUGACGACAACGACUACGACAAACGAAAGACAGUUAACUCAAACCCUUCUUUCGAUUAUUCGCGUAUUCCUCAAAGUUCAAAUUCACAUUUGCUCUCCAUUCCUCUCGGCAAGCCUCCACACUUUGAUGGGGAGGACUACGGAUUUUGGAGUCACAAAAUGCGUAGUCACCUAUUCUCUCUCCAUCCAAGCAUAUGGGAGAUUGUCGAAAAUGGAAUGAAAUUUGAUAGCUCGGAUAGUCCCAUUUUUAUUAAUGAACAGAUCCAUAGAAAUGCACAAGCUACUACUGUGUUGUUAGCCUCCUUGUGCAGGGACGAGUACUAUAAAGUGAGCGGCUUGGACAAUGUCAAGCAGAUCUGGGACACCCUCAAGAUCUCUCAUGAGGGGAACGACGUCACCUUGCUCACCAAGAUGGAGUUGGUGGAGGGCGAGCUUGGACGAUUCGCAAUGAUAAGGGGCGAGGAGCCAACCCAAACAUACAACCGGCUCAAGACCCUUAUCAACAAAAUAAGGAGCUAUGGAAGCACGCGAUGGACGGACCACGACGUCGUCCGACUAAUGCUAAGGUCCUUUACCGUUCUUGAUCCACAUUUGGUGAACAAUAUUCGUGAGAAUCCCAGGUACACCAAAAUGUCGCCCGAAGAAGUCCUUGGAAAAUUUGUCAGCGGGCAAAUGAUGAUCAAGGAGGCGAGGUACGUGGACGACGCACUGAAUGGUCCAAUCAAUGAGCCUCAACCCGUUGCUCUCAAGGCAACGAGAAGCAAGGAAGCGUUACCUAGCAAGGUGGCGCAAGUUGAGGCUACAGGGCUAAAUGAUGAAGAGAUGGCCCUCAUCAUCAAGCGCUUCAAGACGGCGCUUAAAGGUCGCAAGGGACAACCAAGCAAGACCAAGUCAAAGGGGAAGCGCUCAUGCUUCAAAUGUGGUAAGCUUGGUCAUUUUAUUGCUAACUGUCCCGAUAAUGAUAAUGAUCAGGAAAAAGAAAACAAGAGGGAAAAGAAGAAGAAUUACAAGAAGGCCAAGGGCGAGGCACAUAUCGGAAAGGAGUGGGAUUCGGAUUGCUCCUCCUCCGACUCCGACAAUGAAGGACUCGCCGCCACUGCCUUCAACAAGUCAUCCCUCUUCCCCAACGAGCAUCACACAUGCCUCAUGGCGAAGGAGAAGAAGGUAUGUACUCGGGAUACCACUUAUGCUUCUUCAAGUGAUGAUUCUAGUGAUGACGAUGAGAUAGACUAUUCUAGUUUAUUUAAAGGUUUGGAUAGAAUUAAAAUUGGCAAAAUUAAUGAGUUAAUUGAUGCCUUGAAUGAAAAGGAUAGACUUUUAGAAAAGCAAGAGGAUUUGUUGUAUGAAGAACAUGACAAAUUUGUAGAGGCACAAAAAGGUCAUGCUUUAGAAGUUAAAAGAAAUGAAAUGCUUUCUUAUGAACUAUCUACUUGUCAUGAAACCAUUGCUACUUUAAAAGGUGUUAAUGAUGAUUUGAAUGCUAAACUAGAAGUAGCUAGCAAAUCUAACUCUUGUGUAGAACAUGUUUGCACUAGGUGUAAAGAUCUUAAUGUUGAUACUUGUAGUAAACACCUAGAGUGCAUUUCUAAACUAAAUGAUGAAGUAGCUAGUCUUAAUGCUCAACUUAAGACUAGCAAGAGUGAAUUUAACAAAUUAAAAUUUGCAAGGGAUGCCUACACGAUUGGUAGACACCCCUCAAUUAAGGAUGGUCUUGGCUUCAAGAGAGAAGCCAAGAACUUAACAAGCCAUAAGGCUCCCAUCUCUGCCAAGAAGAAAGGGAAGGCCCCUAUGGCUAAUAGUGUGCAAAAGAACCAUGCUUUUAUGUACCAUGACAGGAGACAAUCUAGAAAUGCUUAUAGGAGUUAUAAUGCAUAUGAUGCUUUCGAUUCUCAUGUCAUGUUUGCCUCUAGUUCUUCCUAUGUGCAUGAUAGAAAUGUUGGUAGGAGAAAUGUUGUUCAUAAUAUGCCUAGGAGAAAUGUUGUUAAUGUUCCUAGGAAAGUUAAUGAACCUUCUACAAUAUAUCAUGCUUGCAAUGCUUCUUUUGCCAUUUAUAGAAAGAAUAAGAAAGUGAUUGCUAGGAAGUUAGGGGCCAAAUGUAAGGGAGAUAAAACUUGCAUUUGGGUCCCUAAGACAAUUGUGACUAACCUUGUAGGACCCAACAAGAGUUGGGUACCUAAGACCCAAGCCUAAAUUUGCCUUGCAGGUUUAUGCAUCCGGGGGUUCAAGCUGGAUUAUCGACAGCGGAUGCACAAACCACAUGACGGGGGAAAAGAGGAUGUUCUCUUCCUACGUCAAGAACAAGGAUCCCCAAUAUUCAAUAAUAUUCGGUGAUGGGAACCAAGGCAAGGUAAAAGGGUUAGGUAAAAUUGCUAUUUCAUCUGAGCACUCUUUCUAAUGUGUUUUUAGUUGAGUCGCUUGGAUAUAAUUUGUUAUCUGUUAGUCAAUUAUGCAAAAUGGGAUAUAAUUGCCUUUUCACAAAUGUAGAUGUGUCUGUCUUUAGAAGAUGUGAUGGUUCACUAGCUUUUAAGGGUGUACUAAACGACAAACUUUAUGUGGUUGAUUUUGCAAAAGAAGAAGCCGGUCUAGAUGCAUGCUUAAUUGCUAAGACUUGCAUGGGUUGGCUGUGGCAUCACCGCUUAGCACAUGUGGGGAUGAAGAACCUCCACAAGCUUCUAAAGGGAGAACACGUGAUAGGUCUAACUAAUGUACAUUUCGAAAAAGAUAGACCUUGUGCAGCUUGUCAAGCAGGGAAACAGGUGGGAGGCUCUCAUCACACCAAAAAUGUGAUGACCACAUCAAGGCCCUUGGAGAUGCUUCAUAUGGACCUCUUCGGACCCGUCGCCUAUCUAAGUAUAGGAGGAAGUAAGUAUGGUCUUGUUAUAGUUGAUGAUUUUUCCCUCUUCACUUGGGUAUUCUUUUUGCAGGAUAAAUCUGAAACCCAAGGGACCCUCAAGCGCUUCCUCAGGAGAGCUCAAAAUGAGUUUGAGCUCAAGGUGAAGAAGGUAAGGAGCGACAACGGGUCCGAAUUCAAGAAUCUUCAAGUGGAGGAGUUCCUUGAGGAGGAGGGGAUCAAGCACGAGUUCUCCGCUCCCUACACACCUCAGCAAAAUGGUGUGGUAGAGAGGAAGAACAGGACGCUCAUCGAUAUGGCGAGGACUAUGCUUGGAGAGUUCAAGACCCCCGAGCGUUUUUGGUCGGAAGCCGUGAACACGGCUUGCCACGCCAUCAAUAGGGUGUAUCUUCACCGCCUCCUCAAGAAGACUUCAUAUAAGCUGCUAACUGGUAACAAACCCAAUGUGUCUUAUUUUCGUGUAUUUGGGAGCAAGUGUUAUAUUCUUGUGAAGAAAGGUAGAACCUCUAAAUUUGCUCCCAAAGCUGUAGAAGGGUUUUUAUUAGGUUAUGAUUCAAAUACAAAGGCGUAUAGGGUCUUCAACAAAUCAUCGGGUUUGGUUGAAGUCUCUAGCGACGUUGUAUUUGAUGAGACUAAUGGCUCUCCAAGAGAGCAAGUUGUUGAUCUUGAUGAUGUAGAUGAAGAAGACGUUCCAACGGCCGCAAUGCGCACCAUGGCGAUUGGAGAUGUGAGGCCACUGGAACAAAAGGAGCAAGAUCAACCUUCUUCCUCAACUAUGGUGCAUCCCCCAACCCAAGAUGACGAACAGGUACCUCAAGUGGAGGCGCAUGAGCAAGGGGGAGCACAGGAUGUUCAAGUUGAAGAGGAAGAAGCACCUCAAGCACCUCCAACCCAAGUUCGAGCGACGAUUCAAAGGGAUCAUUCCGUCGACCAAAUUUUGGGUGAUAUUAGCAAGGGAGUAACUACUCGUUCAAGAUUAGUUAAUUUUUGUGAACAUUACUCCUUUGUCUCUUCUAUUGAGCCUUUCAGGGUAGAAGAGGCCUUGCUAGAUCCGGACUGGGUAUUGGCCAUGCAGGAGGAACUCAACAACUUCAAACGCAAUGAAGUUUGGACACUGGUGCCUCGUCCCAAGCAAAAUGUUGUGGGAACCAAAUGGGUGUUCCGCAACAAACAGGACGAGCACGGGGUGGUGACGAGGAACAAGGCUCGACUUGUGGCAAAAGGUUAUGCCCAAGUCGCAGGUUUGGACUUUGAGGAGACUUUUGCUCCUGUGGCUAGGCUAGAAUCAAUUCGUAUAUUUCUAGCAUAUGCCGCUCACCAUUCUUUCAGGUUGUACCAAAUGGAUGUGAAGAGCGCUUUCCUCAACGGGCCGAUCAAGGAGGAGGUGUACGUGGAGCAACCCCCUGGCUUCGAGGAUGAACGGUACCCCGACCACGUGUGUAAGCUCUCUAAGGCGCUCUAUGGACUUAAGCAAGCCCCAAGAGCAUGGUAUGAAUGCCUUAGAGACUUUUUAAUUGCUAAUGCUUUCAAGGUUGGGAAAGCCGAUCCAACACUUUUCACUAAGACUUGCGAUGGUGAUCUUUUUGUGUGCCAAAUUUAUGUCGAUGACAUAAUAUUUGGUUCUACUAACCAAAAGUCUUGUGAAGAGUUUAGCAGGGUGAUGACGCAGAAAUUCGAGAUGUCGAUGAUGGGCGAGUUGAACUACUUCCUUGGGUUCCAAGUGAAGCAACUCAAGGACGGCACUUUCAUCUCCCAAACGAAGUACACGCAAGACUUGCUAAAGCGGUUUGGGAUGAAGGACGCCAAGCCCGCAAAGACUCUGAUGGGAACCGACGGACACACCGACCUCAACAAAGGAGGUAAGUCCGUUGAUCAAAAGGCAUACCGGUCUAUGAUAGGGUCUUUACUUUAUUUGUGUGCUAGUAGACCAGAUAUUAUGAUUAGCGUAUGCAUGUGUGCUAGAUUUCAAUCUGAUCCUAAGGAGUGUCACUUAGUGGCUGUGAAGCGAAUUCUUAGAUAUUUAGUCGCUACGCCUUGCUUCGGGAUCUGGUAUCCAAAGGGAUCUAACUUUGACUUGAUUGGAUAUUCAGAUUCCGACUAUGCUGGAUGUAAGGUCGAUAGGAAGAGUACAUCGGGGACGUGCCAAUUCUUAGGAAGGUCCCUGGUGUCGUGGAACUCUAAGAAACAAACUUCCGUUGCCCUAUCCACCGCUGAGGCCGAGUAUGUUGCCGCAGGACAGUGUUGCGCGCAACUACUUUGGAUGAGGCAAACCCUCCGGGACUUUGGCUACAAUCUGAGCAAAGUCCCACUCCUAUGUGACAAUGAGAGUGCUAUCCGUAUAGCGGAAAAUCCUGUUGAGCACAGCCGCACAAAGCACAUUGACAUCCGGCAUCACUUUUUGAGAGACCACCAACAAAAGGGAGAUAUCGAAGUGUUUCAUGUUAGCACCGAGAACCAGCUAGCCAAUAUCUUCACUAAGCCUUUAGAUGAAAAGACCUUUUGCAGGCUGCGUAGUGAGCUAAAUGUCCUAGAUUCGCGGAACUUGGAUUGAUUUAGAGCAUACAUGUAUUUAUGCCUUUGAUCAUGUUCCUUAUGCAUUUUGUUGCUUACUGUGGUGCUCAAGUUGUAUAAUCACUCCCCGGACCUCACAAGUCCUUUUGCAAGUGAUGCACAUAUUUAGGGGGAGUUGUGCUACAACUUGACCCUUUGAGACUAACCGUGUGCUUGAGUUUGCUUGUUUAGUCUCAAAGGAGGUUUGAAAGGGAAAAGGUGGACUUGGACCAUAAAAGACUUCCACUGCACUCCGAUGAGAGGGUAACUUAUUCCAAGUUCAUAUCAUUGCCUUUGUAUUCUUAUUUGAAGAUUUUGGUGAGGCAAUGGGGUUAAAGGGCCAAGAUUGAUCCCAUUUUGGUGCUUGAUGCCAAAGGGGGAGAAAAUAAAGGCCAAAGCAAUAGAUGGAUCAGCUACCACUUGAGAAAUUUUGAAAAUAGUAGAUUAGAGCUUUUGGUUUGUCAAAACACUUUUAUUGUCUCGUUUGUCAAAAGUUGGCCUCUUGUGGGGAGAAGUGUUGAUUGUGGGAAAAAGGGGGAGUUUUUAAAAUCCUUGAUCAAUUUCCUUUGGAAUACCUCUCUUUAUGUCUCUACAAGUGGAUUUGACUUAGAGAUAGGAAUUUGAGUUUAAUUUGCAAAAACAAACCAAGUGGUGGCAAAGAGUGAUCCAUAUAUGCCAAAAUUGAUUCAAAACAACUUUUGGUUUUCAUUUGCAUUGAUAUUGCACUUGUUCUAGUUGCUUUAUGUUGUGUUGGCAUAAAUCACCAAAAAGGGGGAGAUUGAAAGGGAAAUGUGCCCUUGGGCCAUUUCUAAGUAUUUUGGUGAUUGAGUGCCAACGCAAGUGCUUUUGUGUUGAUCUAUGCAAUAUGGUGAACAAAGUGCAAAUCAAGUCAAAAGGUAUGUUUCUAGACUCAGUACAUUGUUUUAUGGACUAAUGUAUUGCAUCUAAGUGCUGGAAACAGGAAAAAUUGAAUUGGAAAUGAGAUGGCUUUGUUCAGCCAAAGUCUGCUCAGUCUGGGUGCACCGGACUGUCCGGUGGUGCACCGGACAGUGUCCGGUGCGCCAGGCUGGCUCUGGCGAACAGGCUGCUCUCGGGACUUCGACGGCGGUGUACGGCUAAAAUUCACCGGUCCGUCCGGUGGUGCACCAGACUGUCCGGUGAGCCGUUCACAGGCGAACUCGUCGCUCUCGGGAGAUGAUUAACGGCGUACGGCUAAAAUUCACUGGUCUGUCCGGUGGUGUACCGGACUGUCCGGUGAGUCAACGGUCAGCCGGGGCAACGGUCGGCCGAGGAUUCCGCGCGUGACGCGUGGCCGAGCCAACGGUCACAUUGGUGCACCGGACUGUUCGGUGUGCACCGGACAGUGUCCGGUGCGCCAACGGCUCUCAGACUCCAACGGUCGGCUUCGCCAAAUAAGGAAGGAUAUCUGCACCGGACAGUGUCCGGUGGUGCACCGGACUGUCCGGUGGUGCACCGGACUGUCCGGUGCGCCACUCGACAGAAGGCAAGAUCUGCCUUCCAGAAUUGCUCUCAACGGCUCCUAGCUGCCUUGGGCUAUAAAAGGGACCCCUAGGCGCAUGGAGGAGUAUACCAAGCAUUCCUUGAGCAAUCUUGAUCACUCACACUUCAUUCUUGCGCACUUGUUCGACAUUCUAGUGAUUUGAGCUCCGUUCUAGUGUGCUAGUCUUUCGAGCUUAAGUCUGGGUCUUGUGUGUGCGUAUUUGCUGUGAUCUUAGUGUCUUGUGUGAGUUGCUAAUCCCUCCCUUGCUCCGUGCUUCUUUGUGAACUUCAAGUGUAAGGGCGAGAGGCUCCAAGUUGUGGAGAUUCCUCGCGAACGGGAUUAAGAAAAGCAAGCAAAACACUGUGGUAUUCAAGUGGGUCUUUGGACCGCUUGAGAGGGGUUGAUUGCAACCCUCGUCCGUUGGGACGCCACAACGUGGAGUAGGCAAGCGUUGGUCUUGGCCGAACCACGGGAUAACCACCGUGCCAUCUCUAUGAUUGAUCUCUUGUGGUUAUUGUGUUUUGUUGAGACUCCUCUCUAGCCACUUGGCAAUUAUUGUACUAACACUUAACCAAGUUUUUGUGGCUUAAGUUUCAAGUUCUACAGAAUCACCUAUUCACCCCCCUCUAGGUUCUCUCAGUUGCCGCAGGACAGUGUUGCGCGCAACUACUUUGGAUGAGGCAAACCCUUCGGGGCUUUGGCUACAAUCUGAGCAAAGUCCCACUCCUAUGUGACAAUGAGAGUGCAAUCCGCAUAGCGGACAAUCCUGUUGAACACAGCCGCACAAAGCACAUAGACAUCCGGCAUCACUUUUUGAGAGACCACCAGCAAAAGGGAGAUAUCGAAGUGUUUUAUGUUAGCACCGAGAACCAGCUAGUCGAUAUCUUUACCAAGCCUUUAGAUGAGAAGACCUUUUGCAGGCUGCGUAGUGAGCUAAAUGUCUUAGAUUCGCGUAACUUGGAUUGAUAUAGAGCAUACAUGUGUUUUAUGCCUUUGAUCAUGUUCCUUUAUGCAUAUUAUUUAUUUGUGGUGCUCAAGUUGUACUCAUGAUCCCCGGACCUCACAAGUCAAUUUGCAAGUGAUACACUUAUUUAGGGGGAGGCAUGCUACAACUUGACCCUUUAAGACUAAUCGUGUGCUUGAGUUUGCUUGAUUUAGUCUCAAAGGUAGAUUGAAAGGGAAAGAUGGACUUGGACCAUGAAAGACUUCCACUGCACUCCGAUGAGAGGGUAACUCACUCCAAGUUCAUCUCCGUGCUCUUAUUGCCUUUUUACUCUUAAUUGAAGAUUUUGGUGAGGCAAUGGGGUUUAAGGGCCACAAAUGAUCCCGUUUUGGUGCUUGAUGCCAAAGGGGGAGAAAUUAAGGCCAAAGCAAGAAAUGGAUCAGCUAUCACUUCAAGAAUUUUGAAAAUAGUAGAGUUAGAGCUUUUGUUUUGUCAAAAUACUUUUAUUGCCUCUUAUUGUCAAAAGUUGGUCUCUUGUGGGGAUAAUGUUUGAUUAUGGGAAAAGGGGGAGUUUUUGAAUCUUUCUCUUGGAAUACCUCUCUCUAUGCCUCAACAAGUGAAUUUGACUUUGAGAUAGGAAAUUGAGUUUAAACAAACCAAGUGGUGGCAAAGAAUGAUCCAAAUAUGCCAAAAUUGAUCAAAAACAAAUUCUUGUUCUCAUUUGCAUUGAUGUUGCACUUCUUCUAGUUGCUUUUGUUGUAUUGGCAUAAAUCACCAAAAAGGGGGAGAUUGAAAGGGAAAUGUGCCCUUGGGCCAUUUCUAUAAGAUUUUGGUGAUUAAGUGCUCCACACAAAUGCUUUGAGUUAUAUUUGUGCCAAAGACUCAAGAAGUGCAAAUCAAGAUUAAAGGUAUGUUUCUAGUCUUAGUCCAUUGUUUUGAAGACUAAUGUGUUGUGUCUAAGUGCUAGAAACAGGAGAAAUCACUUUGGAGAUUAGUUGGCUGUGUUCAGCCAAAGGCUGCUCGGUCUGGGUGCACCGGACUGUCCGGUGGUGCACCAGACAGUGUCCGGUGGUGCACCGGAUAGUGUCCGGUGUGCCAGGACCAGACCAGAUGAACAGCCUGCUCUCGGGUCUUGACGGCGGCGUACGACUAUAAAUCACCGGACUGUCUGGUGAUGCACCGGACUGUCCGGUGAGUUGUCUGCGGCGAAGUCGCCGCUCUCGGGAACCAAGUCAGCAGCGUACGGCUAAAAUUCACCGGACUCUCCGGUGAGACACCGGACUGUCCGGUGAGCCAACGGUCGAGCGCGCAUUCCGCGCGUGACGCGUGGCCGAGCCAACGGUCGGAUGGGGGCACCGGACUGUCCGGUGUGCACCAGACAGUGUCCGGUGUGCACCGGACAGUGUCCGGUGCGCCAACGGCUCCAAAUCUUCAACGGUCGGCUGCGCCAAAUUAAGAAAGCAAUCUGCACCGGACUGUGAACAGUGCCUGUCCGGUGGUGCACCGGACUGUCCGGUGCGCCACCCGACAGGAGGCAAGAUUUGCCUUCCUAGAUUGCUUCCAACGGCUCUUAGCUGCCUUGGGGCUAUAAAAGGGAUCCCUAGGCGCAUGGAGGAGUAUACCAAACAUUCUUUGAUCAACUCUAAGCACCAAGACUCCAUUUCCGCGCAUUUGAUUCUUUGUGAUAGCAACUAGAGCUCCAUUUGAGUAGAGAACUCUUCGAGUUGUGUUGCGAGCUCAAGUUGUGACUUGUGUGCGUGUUUGUGCUCUGAUUUUGUGUCUUGUGUGCGUUGCUUUUCCCACCCUUACUUCCGUGCUUCUUUGUGAUCAUCAAAUUGUAAGGGCGAGAGGCUCCAAGUUGUGGAGAUUCCUCGCAAGUGGGAUAUAGUGAAACAAAGAGAAACACUGUGGUAUUCAAGUGGCUCUUUGGACCGCUUGAAAGGGGUUGAGUGCAACCCUCGUCCGUUGGGACGCCACAACGUGGAGUAGGCAAGUGUUGGACUUGGCCGAACCACAGGAUAAACCAUUGUGUCUCUCUGUGUUGAUUUCUUUGUGGUUAUCGUGUUUAGCAAGAACUCCUCUCAAGCCACAUGGCGUUAUUGCUCUAACACUUAAUCAAGUUUGUGGAUUUAAGUUUCAAGUUUUUACAGGAUCACCUAUUCACCCCCUCUAGGUGCUCUCAGUCUUCUACAGAAUACAGAUGUGGCAAAAAUAUCAUAUAACUUGAAACAAUAACUAAACCAUAACUAAUACAUAAAUAUAAGCCAUCACAUCUACAAUAACAAUACCAAAUUAUAUUUACAGUAGUAGUAAAUAAUAUUAUGAGUUACAUAUACUAUAACUAAAACAGAGCUAAGCAAUAAAUAUUAAAAAUCCAUGAACGGAAUCUAACAAUAACAGUUAUUAACACAAACAUGAAUGAAAUCUGAAAACCUAAACAUUAAAAAUCCAAAUCUAGGCACUAAAUAUCUAAAAUAGAGCUAAAUCUUAGUACCAUAACCGGUUUACCGGUGGUAAAACGUGAUUUACCUCUUCCCGUGGGUGGUUUACCACCGGUUUUGCGAUGGAAACCGUCGCCGAGGGGAUCUGGGAUGGUGCUGGGGGGCAGCGGCGAAGCGGGCAGUAAACCGCUGGUAAACCGCUCCUGGCCGGCGGUUUGCCGCGCUUAGCCGCUGGUAAAAGGCGCGGAGGCGGCGACUUUUGCGUGUGCGGCGGCGACAGCUCUCAGGUAAGUGAAGGGGAAAGGAGGGGAGCUCGAGGAGGUCUCGGAGGAGAGGCCCGAUAGGGAUGUUUAGAUUUUUUUUUGUUAACGGGUCCAUACUUUAUUCUAUUUUUUGUUGGCUAAACUGAUUUAAAUUUAAAUAUCUUCUAUACUAAAUUACUCAGUAAAACAUGUAGUUUUUUAUAUCAUAUAUUGUUUUAUAAAAAUUUUCAAAUUUUUAAAUUUGGACUGAAUUAAAAAAACCGCUGGUAAACUGUUAUCGCCCCUGAUGGUUUCGGUAAACCGAGCGGUUUACCGCCGGUUUUCGACGGUUUUGCAAUCAUUACUAUCUCCUGUCCCACAGUCUAUCUGACUCUUUAUUUCAAUAUACUUUGUAGUUGUAGACAGCCUUAGCUGCUAUUCUUUUCUACUCCGUGUAUAUUUUUUACUCCGUGUAUAUUUGGUGGCAAAGUUUAACCCGUAUCAUAUCGAAUGUUUGAAUUUCUAUUAUAAAUAAUAAAUUUAGUUUAAUUAUAAAAUUAAUCACACAACUAACUAAACAAAAAUACAAAAAAAUGAUCCUAACUAAUACAAAUAUUUACUCGAAUAAUGUACUAAUUAUACUUAAAAAACAUGUCCCAUCGUUUAGUCUUUUAUCUAUCUAUGUAAUUAGACUAUAUUUUAAUACGUCAUUCAAACGUCCGACGUGAUGAUGCUAAAAUUUAGCCUCUCCCAUCCAAAACAGUUGGAUAGAGAUACCAUCGUUUAAAAAAAGCUAUGAUUUUUCAAAGUUUGUUUCUUUCUUCAGACACAAUCCGAUUUGUCAUACCCAUGCCAUCGAGAAUAACGGGUCAGAGAAACAACCGUUGGGCAUGGAGGAUUGCGGGUCGGGUAAACGUCCGUUUGGGACUUGAAUGAAACCCGCUACAACUUUAGUGAGCUAAAAAUAUAUAGUAUUUUGGAACUUCGAGGAUCUAGAUGACAACUCGCUAGAUAAUUUUCAAGACCGAUGGUAAAAUGCAAUUAGCAUGGAACAUACAAAUUCAUUGCCCGUUUAUAAUUUUUGAUACCCUUGCACUGUGCUAGCUUACAACUUUUGCUACAAUAAUAUGGCCACUAGCUUAGGCAACGCUGAAGAAAUUUAAUGGUACCUAUUUCAGGCUUGGUUGUUAGACGCUCAUAAGUGUUUCUGGAGCAUGUCUCUGAACCAGUAGGCUGACGCCUUGGGGUGUCGUUCGAGCUUGGGCGUGCUGAAGUCGACGUAGACGAUUCCAAACUUGGACGUGUAACCUGACUGCCACUCGAAGUUGUCGAGGAGAGACCAAGCGAAGUAGCCAGCCACGUCGGCGCCGUCAUCGAUGGCUUUCCUCAGCUCAGCGAGGUAGCCUUUGUAGAAUUGCACCCUUGUGGUGUCGUGCAGGUACUGGCCACGAGUCAAGUUUCCUGGCUGAUCCAUUCCUGGUAGCAUAGAAACAAGAUUGGCAUAUGUAUCCCCUGAUAUGCCACGCGUUUUUUUUUAUGUGAGAUGUGUAGUAGAGAGACAUGAGUACCGUUCUCGGUUAUGAAAACUGUUGGAUUUCCAUACUUGUGCUUCAGAUAGUUCACACAACCGUACAUCCCUUCUGGGACGAUGUAAAGCCACUUUGAAUUCGCCUGAUAUUGUGAAGCCAAAGCCAUUUCUCAAUCCACCAGCACUGAUCCACUGAUGGGUAAUAUGUAUUGGAUGAUAUCUGCAAAUGCUGAAGUGAAGAACUACAUACCUGUGGUCCGAUCGGUUUGCCGUUCCGUUCUACUGCAUAAUUUAGGGGACAAAUGAUCAGGCAAGAAGUAUCUAAACUCAGGUAAAGCUUGAGUCUAAGGCAAGAACUCACAAACAUAUUGAACCUGCCAAUCAGCUGAGUAGCUAGUAGGCUUCUGCUGGAGCAGUUUCUGGCCCUUCACGUAGCUAGCGGUGUAUUGAUUGAUCCCAAUGUAAUCCGCUGAGCCCUUGACCAACUUAGCUUGCUCCGGAGUAAACUUGGGCAGCCUCUCUUUCACAAUAUCUUGCAUUAUCUGUGGAUAAUGUCCAUUUAUUAAUGGAUCAGCAAACCUGCAUCAAAGACAAUUAUUGAUGAUAUUAUAACUUGUAUUUUCCUUGCAUGAAAACCCAGGUUUUGAUCAAGGAACUUGCAUAGCUUACCAACCAACAUGGAAAUCCCUUGCUCUUUGAGCCGCUGCUUGGUCUUCGGUUGAGUUUGUGAGAGCUUCAUACCAAUUGAAGUCCAGAACUAUUCCAACCUUUCCUUUCUGAGCAGCCUACAUUUUGAAAAAAAAAAUCAUCAGAAAUUUAAACAAUAAUAUGUUAAUUGUCAAGUUGUACAUAUAUCUAGCAAAUUGGACAGGCUGGCUAUUGCAUCUUUUGCGGUUUACAUGACCAAUCAGUUAUGAAAGGAAUCUGUUGCGCUUAUUGAGUCGGGAAUAGAAUUGAAACAUUAUAAAUUAUGUUGAGCAUCGUUCCAAAGCAUAUAUAUAUAUAGACGCUGCAACAAUUCACUUCUUAAAAUGUAUUUUUGGACAGCACAGUUGAUGUAGUAAAAUAAGACCAGAUUUUGUACUGCAUUCCAGAUUACUGAUACCGAUAUUGCACUUCAAUAAUACUAUGAUAUUUUUGUCCAGGGGAAUUAUAUGAGAUAUUAAGUAGAACAUACCUGAUACUUGUUACGGUAUCUUGACACAGCAGCAGCAUGUGACAAGAGAAAAUUAUGAGCAACGAUAUAAGGUUCCGUUGCUGAAUUCCCACCAGCAGAGCAUUUGGUACACCUUUGAGGAGGAAUCGACCCAGCGUCAUAACCAAGUAGUGCUACUAUCCUUGGCUCAUUGAAUGUAAACCAAUGCUUUACACGGUCGCCAAAAGUCUUAAAACAGAAGUCGGCAUAGUCUGUGAACAGUUUCCUACAAAACAUCGUAUAGAGAUAGAUAUAAAUAAGAUAUGGUAAAGAUUGGCGUUCCUACAAAACAUCCUUCCAAAGCAUAUAUAUAGACACUGCAACAAUUCACUUCUUAAAAUGCUUUACACGGGUGCACUAUACAUUGUGCAGUCUUCUUUUGGGAAAAAUAAAUACAUAAAAACUUUCAUAUUCAUAAUUUAUCUAUUUGCAAGGAUUAGGAGUAAGACUCCGAAACGAAUUUCAGCACACGAACAUCCAUAAAUAUUAAUUAAUUUUAGACUGACUUACGCCAUCUUGGCAUUUAACCACCCUCCAUACUUGUUCUGAAGCGCAAGAGGGAGAUCGGAAUGGUAAAGAUUGGCGUACGGUGUAAUGCCUGUUCAGUUUACAAAGAGACAUUCAGACAUGAGCAAAUGUCGGUUCCAACCGAAGCCUCAGAUGUCGAAAUUGCUCCCACUUGAGCUCAUACCUUUCCGAAGCAGGUAGUUUAUCAGAUUGUUGUAAUAGGCAACACCUUCUGGAUUGACUCUUCCCUCGCCAUCUACAGAAACCAAAGUUGCAUGUGUCACCGCACUGGUACUUAAACCUAAAAGAACUUGUGCUCCUAGACUGCCAUGUUAAGUAUUGUGUACAACUUAACUCAGGUUUAUGUACCUGGGAAGAUCCUGGACCAUGAGAUUGAAAACCGGUAGGCAUCAAAAUUCAAACUUUUCAUGAGGUCGACAUCUUCCUGAAAAUGUUGCAUGACAAAAGGACCAAGUACAAGUCUAACAGACUUUCUUUUACUUCAAAAGUUUUUCACCAGCAUAAAACCUAGAUAGAUGGACUCUAGCAUUGUCAUAUAAUAAGGAGCAGUACCCUGUAGCGAUGAUAUUGAUCCACUGCGACAUCUGCCGUCUGAUUGUAUACAAUGUUUCCUGUUGGUGGCAGCACAAAACGGAGAAUGUCAUGAUUGAGCAUCCAGGCUCUUGCGGCAGCACACUACACUAGUCGAAGUGUCGAAGCUAGCGCAGGGACGGAUUACUACCUGGGGUGUGCACGAACGCGUCCCAGGUGGAGGGGCCUCGGCCGUUGGUGGACGCGGCGCCCUCGACCUGGUACGCCGACGUCGCGGUCCCGAACACGAAGUCCUUGGGGAACGCCGCCCGGCUCAGCCCGCCCAGCCAGUUAGGUCCUUCCCCCGCCGCUGCACCUGCAGCAGCGCUGCCGCACGCCACCACCAGCGCGACCAGCAGCGCCGCCCAUCGAACAGCAAUCAUCUCUCUUCUCCGCUGCCGCAGCGCAAGCAACUCUCAGUCUGUUGCCCAGCAGCAAUCUACAGUUCCUGCUGGCUGCUAUUGCUAGCUAAGGUCGUCGCUACUCCCUAUAGCCAGAGUCCCCGGCGCGGCAUCACCCGUUUUCAACGUUGUUGGCUGUAUCCGGCAGAUCAGGUCGUAUAAGACCAUCUUCAACCAUUUAUCCAUAUUUCUUCCCUUAUCUACAAUUUCUAUCAUAGAUUACUAUAUCACCUUAAAAAAUACUUCCUCCAUCUUUAAAAUGGCUCCAACUAUUUACAAGCAGUCAUUCUGUACCAGCGUGCAAGCAAACUGUCUGAUCAAUUAGAUCGUGAUACAACCGUAAGUCACAUUUAACACUUAAACCUUUCCACCACCAGCUUAAUAAUCUUUAUAAAAAAACACCUAACAAACCAUGGUUAUAUCUAUGGUUAGAUCGUAAUCUAAUGGAUCAGAUGUUUUGCUUGCACGCUUACACAGAAGCACUGCUUGCAUAGCAGUCGUUGCCCCAACUAUUUACACUAUUUAGCUCUCCAUAUAUACUACAAUUCAGUUAUUUAAUAUUUUAUUCAUUGAUUUUUAAAGUUAUAAAAAUCAUAAACUUUUUAUAUUACCAUAAUACACAUUAUUUUUAGGCUACAGUAAUUAAAUAUGAUUAAUAUAAAAAUGGAUUAAUUAAAGAAUAGAGAGAUUGAAACUUACCCUAUAUAUGGGAGAGUUUCUUCUCUCCCGUCGUAUAUGGUGAGGUAUGGGGAGAGUUGUUGGAGGGGCAUUUCACCUUAUAAUCUAUUGAGACCUUAUUCGGUUAUUACCAUUACAUCUGGAUUAGAUGUGACUGAAAAAAAUUAAAAAGAAGUUUAACUUGCUUGGAAUUGAAACCCACACAAUCUCAAUCAAUUCAUAUGGGUUGAGAGCUAACCGAACAAGUCCGAAUGUGAGGUGUGAGAGAGGUGCAGGUAAGUAGGAGAUGAUUUCAAACUCUAUGUACUAUAGAGUGUAUUGUUUAUAGUGUGAAAUUUAAAAUAGGAGGUGAGAUGAGAGAUAGAAUGGAUAGGCUACUGUAUUAUGGAGUGUAUUGUUUAUAGUGUGAAAUUUAAAAUAGGAGAUGAAAUGAGAGAUAUGAUAGAUAAACUCUUGUAGACAUAGCCGAUACUCUAUAUUGUUUAUAGUGUGAAAUUUAAAAUAGGAGGUAAGAUGAGAGAUAGAAUGGAUAGUCUAUUGUAUUAUGGAGUGUAUUAUUUAUAGUGCGAAAUUUAAAAUAGGAGAUAAAAGGAGAGAUAUGAUAAAUAAACUCUUGUAGACAUAGCCGACAGGGCGGAUGCGCGUAGCGAUUAAAUUAUCCGAGCGCAUGGCUCGUGCGCCUCUACUUUUACUUGGAGGCUUGGAUUAUGGGGUCGCCCUGUGUCGAUUUCGCCGGGUGGCGCGAUCCUCUUCCUCCUUUCUCACCGGCGGCGGGUUGCAGAGAAGAGAACACCUCCACUAAACCGGUAGGUGCCCAGAUACACCAAAAAACGCAAGCUAUCCAUGAAUACACGUUCAAAUCUGUAUCUGAAAAUCCGCAAACAAAACAAAACAAAACUGGCUCUGAACAAUAAGCCCUGAAUCAUGGUCUCAUUCCUACAACAGGUCCCGCAUCGAUGCAACAUGUCCUGAUUCUUAAAAGGAACAUGUUGUCAUCCACACAACUACAAAUCCGUACUAUGAAAAUACAUUUCUAAUUAGACCGAGGAAACCAUGAAGAUGGAUGGAAGCAGAACACCCAAGGAGACCAAAAGGGAGACCAGCAAGGCAGGUCCGUUCGAGGUGGCUGAAGCCGAACCAGCCGGCCGGCCGCCUGAACCAGUCUGCGGGGUAGCAGCCUUGGAGCCCGUCCCCGAAAGCAUGUCUCUGAACCAGUACGCCGAGUCCUUGGGGUACCGCUUCAGCGUCGCGAAGUCGACGUAGACGAUGCCGAACUUGGACGUGUAGCCCGACAGCCACUCGAAGUUGUCCAGGAGAGACCACGCGAAGUAGCCGAUCACGUUCGCGCCGCCGUCGAUCCCUCUCUUUAGCUCCGUCAGGUAGUUCUUGUAGAAGUCGAUCCUCACGGCGUCGUGCACGUACUCCUCGCGCGUGAGGUUUCCAGGCUGAUCCAUUCCUGAUAUUUAUUAUAUUCAUGGAGCCAUGAUUCGUUGAUGCGGUUCAAGGAGCACCAUGGAAGGGAGUGCAAGCAUUUCAGACGAAGGAAACAGGUUAUUUCAGGUACCGUUUUCCGAUAUGAUGAUGAUUGGAUUAUGGUACUUUUCCUUUAGGUAGUUCACGACUCCAUACAUGCCCGAUGGGACGAUGUAAAGCCAAAUUGAGUGCGCCUGCAAAGCACAGGUACAUUGAUCAUCAGAAUCUUCAUGCUACUUUUGCACUUAUCAAUCUUCUAGCACCAAUAGAAUAAAGUAUGGUUCAAAGUCAGUAACCCGGAGAAGCCUAUACCAUCUGUCCAAUUUGCACGCCAUUCCUUUGAACUGCAAAGUUCAACAUGGAAGGAAGUGAUGAUCUUCAGAAACUGCAGCGACACACACAGAUAGGACCACAUGGAACCAGAAUCACAAGCCGGUAACUCACAGUAAUAUUGGACGCCCCAGUCGGACGAGUAGCUCGGUGGUCCCUGCGGAGGAGUUUGUUGAUCUGCAAUGUAGUAUGUAGUAUAUUGAUUGAUCCCGAAAUAGUCUGAUGAGCCCUUGACUAGCUUGGCCUGUUCAGGUGUGAAACUUGGUAGCCGGUCUUUCACAAUGUCUUGCAUUAUCUUUGGAUAUUGCCCAUUUAUUAAUGGAUCAAGAAACCUGAAUCAUGACCAUUUGGCACGGUUAAUACUGGUAACUGAGUUCAAUAAGAUAUCGAAGUUUAUCACAUAUUGCUGUCAAGAUCUUACCAACCAAUAUGGAAGUCCCUGGCCCUUUGCGCUGCUUUUUGAUCUUCAGUUGAGUUUGUAAAAGGUUCAUACCAGUUGAAGUCAAGAACUAUCCCGACCUUGCCUUUCUGAGUUGCCUAUUGAGAAGAGAAAUAAAACUAACCUGUUCUGGAUCAUUUCCUCACAAAAGGCUCAAGAUUUUUCCCCCCUUUUUUGUUUGCGUGGGAGAGGGUUAGGGGGGGGUAAAUAUAUUAAUGAUAAAAAAAUGCAGAAUAUGCUUUACAUAUUACAUUUUUGCCACUAUAUUGGUUAGGCAAAAGAGGGCAAAAAAAUAGAUUUUUUUGGUAGGAUGCAAUUUAGUACAGUAAGGGCAAUUUGUUUUCAGUUUACAGGGAAAGUAGGGAAAAAAACUAAUUUGAGAAACCCCAAAUGUAUGCAUUUGUCAACAGCUAAUCUCAUGUGUUGCCAUGCUGCUAUCAACUGAUGUAGUUUUUCAAAAAAGGGCCAUUGCAGCAGGUAAGCAUUAAGAACACCCAAUAAUUAACACUUACGGGUUCAGGUUACUUGCUGUAUAUAUGCAAAUUAUACUACUAUUGCACUUUCAGUGCCAGUGCACCAGUUUGUACAUUUAGUCACAGACAUGCAUCCUGGUACUAAUACUCAAGUAUUUGCAAUAGUUCCUAUUUGUUUAUUCUUCCAUUUCAUUGAAAAAUACCUGGUAUUUAUUGCGGUAUCUUGCAACUGCAGUAGCAUGAGAUAGGAGAAUGUUAUGAACAACAAUGUAAGGUUCUGUCGAUGAGUUCCCACCGGCAGUGCAUUGUGUGCACCGGUUAGGGGGGUUAAGCCCUUUAUCAUAACCAAGGAAUGCUACUAUCCUUGGCUCAUUUAAUGUGAACCAGUUCUUGACUCGAUUGCCAAAAGUCUUGAAACAAAAAUCAGCAUAGUCAGCAAAUAUGUCCCUGCAGAACAUAAUAUCCAGAAAAGGCCUAUCCUCAGUACAGAUUAUGAUAAGAACAAAUGAAAUGUAUUAUCUAAAAAGAACAAUAUCACUUCACAGUUCAUACUUGUCCAUGUGGGUGAAAAUACUAAGUCAUGAGUCAUCAUUGAAUUGGCCUAGAUAUUGAUGCAAAAUCAAACCACUAUCCCACCUAAUAACUGCUACAGGAUAGGUGCCAAUUUUUCCAGUAUUAAGUUCAUACUUUCAAUGGACAAUGAAGCCUUGAGUCUCAACUAUAAAGAAACUUGACUGGUUGGGGCAAGACCGCCCCCACAGCUUUGCACUAAGAAACUGUUAAAUAGGACUCUAUUUUCCCAUUGUAACUCUAUUUCCCUAUUGUAUAUAGAUAGGAUCUCUAUGUUGUACCUGUGUAUAUAUAUUGACCUUAUGACCUCAUAUUGAAUAAGCUUCUUCAUAACAAAAACCUCAGUGGAACUGGGCAAAAAAUCCCCGUACCCAGCCACAUCUUACAGGGCCACACCAUAACCUGGGCCAGCAACCACUACUACUACCCCAGGUAGGAUUGCACUGUUACCCUAAGCUGGCGCUCUGCCACUACUUUUUGUGAGAGGCACCACGAGUUUUUUUUGGGUGCAAGUUGGGCCGGCUGGCUGGUACCAAUACUUGGUAACAACACACUACUAGUGUGUUUGCUUCAGUCUCAACUAUGUGUGUAUAGAAUGUAUCAAGUUCAUAUAGUACAAGACUCUUCACAUAUUUCAACAUGAAGCAACAAAGACAAGAAGUCUGUUUCUCCCUUACACAAUUUUUGGGCCUAACCAGCCUUGGUACUUCUUCUGAAGCGCAAGCGGAAGAUCAUAGUGGUUAAGGUUGGCGUAAGGAGUAAGGCCUGCUCAGUUUUGAAGGGAACAUUCAUAGAGUGACAUAAUGUUUCUGCAAAAUCUUCGAAGACUGAACUUUCAUGUCUGAAUCAUUACCUUGCUUAAUCAUGUAGUCUAUAAGAUUGUUGUAAUACUGUACUCCUUCUUCAUUAAUUUUCCCUUCGCCAUCUAGAUAGACCAAGACACAAUCGAUGGAUCCAAUAAGCAACUGGUGACUCAUACAACUCAACAGUUAGUAUAUAUGGUGUUAGUAGAGUCAGAUUUUAUGCACCUGGGAAGAUCCUGGACCAGGAGAUUGAAAACCGGUAUGCAUCAAAAUUUAGGCUUUUCAUGAGAUCAACAUCUUCCUGUACAAGGGAUAAAGAAGCCAAAUUCAGACUAAAAGAAAUAGUUACUAAUUUCUAAAUGAAUUAUUAAUUCUCAGCGUGAGAUGUUUUGUUCGUUUCAGCAUUCUACUUGUAUGCUCUGAAGAAAUAGCUGACAUGUAUCUGUUGUCACACACUAGUGUUAUGCUCUUUUUUUCAUGUGUACAUGCUGGUGGUCCACUGGUCUGGUCCAGAUACAGGAUGUUUCUGGAAGCGUCCGGACUGGUGUCAUGUUCUGAAGAAGCAUUGUGUUGAGUACAGAAAACGACCGCGCAGACGGUCCGGCUCUGAGGCCGAACGGUCCGCGGUGGUGGCGCGGACGGUCCGCGCGUGCGCAGAGUCAGUUAGGGUUCCGAGUUUCUCGCGGGAUUUGUUAGCUAAAACCGCGGGAUUAGCUCGGGAAACAACUUGUAGCGGAUCCAAACCUCCCCCUUUAUAUAGAUGAAGGGCUACGGCCGAUUGAACCCCCAACAAUCGAUCAAAUCAAGUCUAUUUCUCGUUUUACUUAUGCAUUAGGAGUAGUUCUAGUUUAGUUCUAGAUUAGCCUUUCUCUACCCCAAAUUUUUCGCUUCUCUUCGGCUCUACAUCGAUUAGAGGUGUCUAGGGUGGCCUGCCGACCCUAGAUGAAGCCUAGGAUCUCUCCUCCCCGACGGGGUCCCUCCCGGGAGCGAGAUUCAGGCGUUGCCGGCGAACUCCGCCGCCCCUGCGCACGCGCGGACCGUCCGGGCCGUCAGGCGGGGAACCCGAGCCCAACGCCAGGUCGCGGACUGUCCGGCCCCUGGCCGCAGACCGUCCACGCCUGUGCAGAGAGCACCGCCGCAGGUUCUCAACGCAGUGAUUGGUGCCCGAAUCGGCGGCAACACACUUUUUGGCGACUCCGCUGGGGAAAGGUGUCUAGAUCUACUAAAAAUCAGGCCCUCAAAUGGCAGGUUCUAAUGAUCACACCGAUAUCUCCCCGUACACACCACAACAGCAGUACGUUCCGCCCGCUACAUAUUUAAACCACAGCACGCCAUACGAUCACAGACCGAUCAACAUUAUCGAUCGGUCACGGCAAGAAGGUCGACAUAACAAUGCCCGACCGAAUGAACCCCACAGCCUAGGGUUCGGUGGUCUGCCACCGGGCGCAAUGGAAAAGAUUAGGGAAGAGAUGGCUGAACUAUUUCGAGAUAGGCUCGGAGUUAGUGUAACUAGAGUGGGGCAAUCAUAUCAGAAGCCAUAUGAUCACCGGUUUGACAUUGUCUCAUAUCCACAAGGGGCAAGGAUACCGGAGUUUUCUAAGUUUUCUGGUGAAAAUGGAAGAAGCACACACGAACAUAUAGGCCAAUUCCUAGCACACCUAGGCGAAUUGGCCGAUGGGGAAGCAUUUCGUGUUCGUUUAUUUUCUUUAUCCCUUACUGGUACUGCUUUUGCAUGGUACGCCGCCCUGACUCCUAAUUCCAUUAAUUCCUGGAAUGGUUUAGAGAGUAAAUUUCAUGAACAUUUCUUUUCCGGGAAAUAUGAAUUAGGGCUAGCUGAUUUAGCUUCAGUCCGACAGGGACGCGAAGAAUCGGUUAAUGAUUAUAUCCGGAGGUUCCGGGAACUAGAAACCGAUGCUUUCGGAUCCAUGUCGCAGACAAAGAGCUAGCAGGGCUGGCUUUUAAUGGGUUGCUAUCCUACUUAAGAGACAAAUUAGAUGGGACCCAGUUCUUUUCAAUAGCUCAGCUACAUCAGCGGGCUUUAGCCUGUGAAAGCCGAUUUAAAGAGACAUCAAAAUCAGUCGCUCGUACUAUACAUCUAGUAGAGAGUGAUAAUUCAGAUGAUGAAUCCGCAGAUGUAUAUACCGCUGAGUUUGUUUGGCCAACAAAGGCCAAAUCUUCUGCAUGUUCUUCCUUACAGCCGGUUCAAAAGAAUCGGCAGGAAGAGAUUAAAUUUACCUUUAAUGUUGUCAAAUGCGAUAGGAUAUUUGACGAACUACUAAAAAUGGCAACAUUAAAUUAACUCAUACUAUUCCUCCGAUCCUAUAGAUGAGUUAAAGAGACGUGUUUAUUGUAAGUGGUACAAUUCUUUUCCCCAUGCCACCAAUGAUUGUAAUAUUUUUCGUCGACAGAUACAAUCGGCCAUAAAUGAGGGCCGGUUGGCUUUUCAGGAGAUGUAAGUGGACACACAGCCAUUUCCUAUCAAUACCAUAGAACCCACAUGCAAAGAGGUCUUGGUUCGGCCCGAACUGGCCGAUAAAGGCCAAGACAAAACACCGUCAUUGGUGAUCCUUGCAUGUCAAAUAUAUUGCAAGAAGGGAUUGCUCGGAAAGCUCCAGACAGAAAGACUAACAAGUUCGGAGGCACCGGGGGACAGGCUCAACCAAGCAGCCGAGCAAAACUCAUUGACUCAAGCAUCGCAGACUGUCCGACACUUGGGUGCGAACAGUCCGGUGCUCAUGCGGACAGUCUGGCUGACUCAGCCGGACAGUCCGCCCAUGGCCAGAGGCAUCAGCCUCCACAUAAAGCAAGGAAAGAAACGCAAGGGCAAAGCACACAUGUUCGGCUGGUCAAAGCCGGCCCUACUUUUGGUCAGUUGCUCUCCAAAUAUGCUAGCAAGAAGGUCGUUCUAUGUGAUCGGCCAACAAAGAAACCCCGGC
rnacentral:lncRNA from 1 species